AUAAUGGUUUUCCAUUGUGAACCAAAACAGGUACCUUCUUAUAAACAGGGUUGUACUUAAGAAGAAGUUCACUUUUGUUUUUUAUAUUUUCGUCAAUGAAAGUGUACUCAAUACCCUUUAGUUUUAGAGCAUAUUGCACUCUUUGAACAAAUGGGCUUCCUCUUGCACCCAAUAAUUGAACUUCAGCCAUUGCUAAGAUCUUAAGAAAAUGUGGAUGUGAAUUAAUGCUUUUGAAAAUUUUGACAAAGCAUUUAUGAGAUAUUGAAAGGUUUAUAAAUAUAAUCUGCAAUCACAUUUAAGUAAAUACGGUUGAAGAUUUUUUACACGGUCAAUUAAUCACAACUAGUAAGACUUUUACUUUAAACAUAUAAAAAGUAAUAUAUAUGAUUGUGAUAUAUUAACCCUAUAAAUUUUUUUACAUUGAUAGUACAUAACAAAUAAUCUCUUUAACUAUUAACUUUUAAAUAUAUUAUUCAUUUAUAUAAAAUUAAAACAAUAUUAACCUUUAAAAUAUAUUUUGGCAUUUUAGUUUCUAUAUUUAACAUAAGUAACGUAAUUUUAGAGUUUCAUUGAAUAAAGCAAAAAUAUUCAUAACAAAUUAACACUUUGUCCAAAUGGAUAAGACUAGAUCUUGAAUACAAAAGUAUAUUAUCAGAAUAAACAAAUCAGUUUUCAAUUUAUAUUUUCAUAACGAAUAAAGCAAUCACCUCAAUUAUACUAAAUAAUGUGUAUUCGCUGUCAAGAUUUUUAAUUCGCUAGAAUAAAAUCAUUCGAUCUUUAAUUUAUAUAUAUUAAUUAUUAUUAGAUGAAAACUCAACUCUGUAUUAAAUUUGUUAGAAAUAAUUUAUUUUAGGUAUUAAUAAUAUUUAUUUUUGUUAAGUUUAACCUAUAUAUAGCGUAUAUUAGUACGUUGUCUACAUGACAUUAUUAAUUGUGUAUCUAUCAACAGUCCAUGUACACCAGAACAGUGUAUGUGUAACCAUCUUGCUGUAAUUAUUUUAAGAAAGUAGUGAAAGUUUGUUAUUUUCUCUUUUCUCUCUCUCUCUUUCAUCUUUUUCUUCUUCACCUUCUGUACAAAAAAAUUGGUUUCCAGAGCUCCAGUUCAAAUCCACAGCAAAACACGGGGAAACACGAGUGAACGGUUAGACGUUAUGUGAUUGAUUUUGUUUCUUGAGUCCGUGUUAAACUUUUGAUUGGAAUCGUAAUAGAAACACAUUUUUUGAUUUUGCGGGAUUGGGAAACAACACUUGUAUUUGGUGAGAUCUGAGUGUAUUGUACAAGAUUCAAGAUGAACGAAAACUGUAAUCUGAGUACUAAGCUUCCAAUGUUCGAUGAUAAGAACUGGAAUCGAUGGAUGAUUCAGAUGCGUAUGUUAUUUAGCACUCAAGAUGUUCUUGAUUUCAUCAACGACAUUUACGUUCCGGUUGCACUCCUGGAAAAUGCAACGGGUGCGCAAAGGAAUGCUCAGCGUGAUUUGAGGAAGAAAGCUCAUAAGGCGUUGUUCUACAUCCAUUCGCGUAUGGAUGUGAAUAUAUUUGAGAAAAUCAUUAAUUCGACGACGACGAAGGCUGCGUAAGACACACUGGUAUGUUGCUACGGAAGUGAUCAUUCAGUGAAGAAGGUGAAGCUUCAGUCUCUACGUAAGCAGUAUGAGAAUCUCUACAUGAAUAACAAUGAGAAGGUACCUUACUACAUCUCUAGAGUGAUUAUGAUCACAAAUGAGAUGAAAUCGUGUGGAGAAACUCUCUCUGAAGAAAGUAUCAUUGAGAAGGUACUUAAAUCUCUUACUCCUUAGUUUGAUUACAUCGUUGUAGCAAUUGAACAUUCUAAGGAUCUUAGCACCAUGAGAAUUGAAGAGCUCAAAAGCAUUCUAGAGGCAAAAAAGUUAGGAAUGACUGAGAGAAACUUUGAAAUGGAGGUAGAGUAGCAGACUCUGAAAGUAGCUUCUAGUAACAAAUAUCAGAAGUAGUCAUGGUCAGAAGUCAGGAAGAGAUCUAAUGGUGUUCAGAAGUCAGAAACCUCAAAUUUUAGAAGGCAAAAAGUGCUCAGAAGGGGAAUGAGAAGUAUGAUAAGAGGAAAUUUCAAUGCUACUGUUGUAAUAAGUUUGGCCAUUUCACUGCUGACUGUUGGUCAAACAAGGAAAGAAAAUCAGAAGAAGCAAACAUAGCCAGAAGAGAUUCUGAAUCUGUGCUAUUAAUGACUUAUGAAUCUGAUGAUGCGUAUUUGGUAGACUCGUGGUAUAUGAACAUUGGCUGCUCAAAUCAUCUUACUGGAAAUAAGAAAUGGAUGGUUGAUUUUGACUUAGGAAAAAGGACAAAUAUCAGAUGUGCUCAUGAUAAAUACCUCAAUUCUGAAGGUAUGGGAAAUGUCAGAGUAGUUCUGAAUAAUGGUGAAACAACAUUGAUUUAGAACGUGUGGUAUGUUCCUGGCAUGAAAGGAAAUAUGAUAAGUGUAAGUCAAUUAAUUGAGAAAGGUUUUUCAUUUAUCAUGAAGGAUAAUCUUUUAAAGUUGUAUGAUUGUAAUCAGAAGCUGAUUAUGAUGUCAGAACAUGGGAGGAAUGGAAUAUUUAAAGGGAAUGUUAAAACUGCAUGUCGCAUACGCGAAAAACAACCGGCGGGAAAAGACACAGAGCCUCCACCGUGCGUUAUUUAUCCCAAAGGAGGGAAAGGAAACGCUCGAAGUAAACCUGAAAAAGGGAAAGGAAUGGUCUUACGACCAGAGAUUGCAAGGUACGGGAGUCGGUUACGCAAGGGGAAAGUAUUAGCACCCCUCACGUCCGUCGUACUCGACGGGAUCCACGCUCAAAAGAAUAGAAUAAGGUUGCUGAUAAAAACUGCUCAAAGAAUGCACACACACUGGAAUGAAACACAGGCGAAGGAAGAUGGAGGAAGGGGACUCGGCAGGAUGUCGCAUCCUAGGCCUACGUAGUUUGUCAGAAACAAACAUCAGAGUCGACGUAGUUCGGGGAAAUGGGAAACGGGCUCGCUAGGAUAUCGCAUCCUAUGCCUACGUAUCUCAUCUGGAAUGAGAAUCAGAGCUACCGUAGUUCGGCUAACGCACGCCGAAACAAAACACAACACAAAGACGCUGAGACGUCGAAAGAAACCACACAAACGCAAAUAGGAAACGGAAUGCCAAUCGCUGGUCUUACAUCCAACUCCAAACAAAAGAAACAGGAAACAGAUAGCCAAUCAAUGGUCUUACAUCUGAAUCCACAAACAAACAGGAAACGGACUGCCAAUGGCUGGUCUUACAUCUAACUCCAAACACACAAACAGUUAAUAAAUUGACAAGCUAACAGGGAGUCUGGUACUCGAGCCUAAUAGCUGUCACACGCAUAAAGGAGACGCUGAGACGUCAAACAAAACAAACAGACUAAUAGGGAGUCGGGAACUCGGACCUAAUAGUUGCCACAACAACACACACAAAAAAGAAAAAGGUUGCCCGGAGAGAUCUCGCACGAUCUCCUGCCUACAUACCUCAUCUGGUAUGAGGAUCAGGGCGACGUAGUUCCCCUUAAUAGGGGAGAAACUAUCUCCUAACCAGAGACCGGGGAAUAACAAACUAAAAGGGAGACUGACUCGAGCCUAAUAGUUGUCAUGCAAUCCACAAUGGCCCUAGGUUGAGGUAUCUAAACAAAACCUAACUCACACAGGAAGCAAGUCAAAACGAACAAAAAAUCAACAUGUAUGAAAAGCAAACACACAAGCAAUCAUCACACUCUAUAUACAAACAAGAGGCUCAGACAAAAUAGUUGGGCUUUAGUCAAGGGGUCAUAUCAACCUCGACAAACAAGCCGGGCUUUAGUCAAGGGGUCAUAUCAACCUCGACAAACAAGCCAACUGUAGGGGUUUGAUGAAGCUCUUAACCACUGACAUUGAUCGUCAGGGUGAGCAGAUGAAAGGUAAUGAGGAUUGGACCUCAUAGCUCUUAACCCGGGCCUGGGUGAGCUUGAAUCAAUGAAAACGUGGGGGUCCAGAAUGAGGGACCCUACUCCACUUGACUGACUCUAUACAAGAUCUUGGGUUAGGUUCAAGAGCAUCAGCACGUAGUGCGAGCAUAAUGAAAGACUCAACUGAAUAACAGGGGAUUGAUUGCAAAUCCCUUCUAUCUGCCAAUUGCCUCUUCACUUAGGAGGACUUGAAGUACAUGGCACAAAUAUAAACAAUCACAGUCAUUGCCUCUUAAGGAGGACUUCAGCCAAAUGCCUGCCAAAUAGAAACGGCAGGGCUUCCAGACUACAUGGAGUUAGAAUGGUUACCUAGGUGGUAUGCCAACCACAAGCAAAGCAACUCAAGCAAUGAGUUAAAGCGGCUAAAGUACCUAUAAGAAAGUCAAACAAGUCAAUAUUCACAUUCAGACAAAUCAACAGUCAAUCACAGUGUUACUAUAUGUACACAAGUCAUGCUCUAUGUGCAAGCAUUCAAGAUAUUCCACCACACUCAGUGAACCUACACACAACAAAAGUUAGUGGACAAAGAAUUUGCAUCUCAAGGUAUGAGAUCAACAUCAACCAUUAAGAUUAUAAGCUUGAACCUGAAAUGCAAAACUCAAAAGAUGAGUACAAACCACUAGCACCAAGGCUAGGGUCAAAGGUAAGGCAAAAAGUCAAAACAGCAACCAAUAUCCAACAUGAAGCAUAUUUAUUCAAUCAAGAACAUGCCCUAAAAAGGACCAAACCUAAAUCACAAGGCAAAUCCAUCAACCAAUCAUGAUAAGGCAAAGGCAAUCACAAUGCACAUAAUUGGACUUCAAGAAUCAAAAUUCCAUAUUAAAACAGAAAUGAAUCAAACAAUCAUGAAAAUUUUUAUGUGCACACAACAUGUCAAACACAAUCAUCAUGCCAAAAAUUAGAAUCAACGGAGCUCAAUUGACCUAGAAAUGAAAAUGAAUAAGUAUGACAUCAAAUUCUGUGACACACAUUGUCACACCAUACAUUCAUGUGUCCCAAACAGAUAUGAAAAAUGCUAAAAAGGCACAACCAAGCCUCAAAAAUCAUGCAACAUGUUGGGAAUCAGUAUACCAAAUUUCAAAGCAAUUGGCCAAUGUAUGAGCAUUUCACAAAAGAAUUGGUACAACAUGUCACAUUUACAUACAUGUUCAAUCAACAGUCCACAAUCAAAAUUUCAGCAAUGAUAAAAUCAUGAAAUCCACAUCAAAAAAUAAAGGAAAUUCAAAUGAACAUAUAGCAAAAAAUUUGGAUUAAAUUAGAUGCAUUUUCAAUUUGUUAUGAUUUUUUGAAGUUGGAUAAAAAAAUAUGAAUUAAUGAAGAAAAAUGCAUGAGAAAAUGGAGGGAAAUGGAAAAGGUGAGGUUAAUUUGAAAAAAUGCUAGAGGCUGGAAUCGAAGUGAGGAUGGCAACGCACUAAAACACGGUCGUUUUGGCCAAGCGAAGAAUCAAAUGGAAAGAAAAAAAAAAGUGCGCUCAGGGAGAAUCGAAGCAUGUAUGGCGCGUUGGACUGAAACGACGUCGUUUCAGAGCGCCGCCCCUAGGGUUUGCAGACGGUGGCUAGGACUGCUCACCAGCGGGGGUUUCCACCGUCUCCUUCGUUGAGACGGUGGCGCUACAGUGCCACGCAUGAUUUUUUUUUGCAGAAAACAGCAUAGCCUAUAUCAAACGAAAGCUUUCAACACGAGGAAUACAAAUCUAUCAUCAACUAAGCCUAAUUCUUCAUGAAUCAAGAGAAUCGAACCAAAACAUUUUUGCACUCCAAACUUUAAUUUCACAUAACUCAGCCAAUUCUCAACCAAAUUUCAUGAAAUUUAUAUCAGUGUAACCAACAUUCAAAGAUCUACAAGUCUAUGCACAUAAAAAGGAGAAUUAAGAGAUUCGAAAACCUAACCUCUUGAAGAGCAGUCCAAUGAAACAAUGGAUUUGAGGUCUUGCAAGUAUCCAGAUCCACUCCUGAGGUGAUGUUAUGAAGCUUUGUGCGUGAAUUGAGGCUUGGAGAUGCUUGGAUCUAGCUCAAAAGUCAGUUUCCAUCUUCAUGUUCUUGAGCUUCAUGUGCUUGAUUCUUCACCAAUUUCUUCAACUCAAUGCUUGAAUCCUACCAAAUGAUGAUCAAGGAACAAGAAUAUGCAAUAAAAUGGAGAUGUUAUGUGAAGAGUUUUUGAAUUUGGAUGGAGAGAAAAAUUUGGAGGGAAUUUGGAUCUAGAUCUAGAAUGAUUGAAAACUGUGAAAUUCUGUUAUGAUUAGCCUUUUAUAUGCUAUGUUAAUCACAUUGCUAAUGAUGCUUAGGCUUGGCUAAUGAAAAUUUAAUGCAAAAUAAGGUGUUAUGCACAAUUGGACAUUUCACCCUAUGCAUGGCCAUUAUGAACGUGAACAGUAGCAUGCAUGGUGUAUUUUCACUUAAAAUGAUCUCAUGAACAUGAUGGAAUGGCUAGAAAACUCACAUGAUCAACCAAAUUUAAAUUCAUGAUUUUCCCUCCAAAAAGCACAUGCAUGGACCAAUGAUCAUAUGAUGCUCAUUCAUGCAAUGCCAUGAGGGUUUUGGAAAAUAUGAGUCAUAAGGAGCAUGAUGCAAAAAGAGGCACUCAAUUUGGAGUUUUAGAUUAAAAGUUAUGGCUUGUUGAAGUUCCAUGCACACAUUGCAAUCAAUGGAUCAUAACUCCUCAACCAUUCAUCAGAUGCUCAUGAUCUUGGACUUUUUGGAAAUGGGAGAGAAAAAUCUUCAACUUUCAUGUUGGACAAAAAUUCAUUUGAAGCUUCUUUGAUGUUGGAAAAUCAAGUUGAAUUUGAACCAAAAAUUUGCCAUUUUUGGAAACUUCCAAUUACAGGUCACUUUCCAUUUUGGGAAACUUUUGAUCUGGCCUCAAAUUCUUCAAGAUAUGUAUUUAAUGAUGAAUAAGCCUCUUUGGGACAUGAAUGAAGUGUCUCAAACCAUUUCUCCCCCCUCCUAGCCCUCAGUUGACUUUUAUGGGCCCCCAGAUGACUUGGCAAUGCACUGAUGACCUUGAGCCUCUAACACUUGGCCAAUUUGCUUCAAAAUGAACCUUGGCUCAUAUAAGAUCAAUAGAAUGAUCAUGUGAUCCCCCUCUCAAUAGAAUACCUCAUUUCCUUGAAAAUCACUGAUUGGAAGAAUGCAAUUGAUUAGGGUUGACCAAAGGUCAAAACCCUAAUCCAGAGGAAUCUAAGCAUGAAUAAUGAACCCCUUGAGGAUGACAAAACCAUGAUGAUGAUGAUAUAUCCUUGCCAAUAAGAUAAUGCUCAAGACCAUUGAAGAACCAAGAAAACCUUAAUUGAAGCACAAACCCUCAGAUGGUUGAUCUCCAAUUCAAUAAGACCCUUAGGCUUGAAUCUCUUAACCUCUCUAUCUUCUGAGAAAGACUUAGGAGGAUGACCUGUUUAUUUCACAUGAUAUGCAAUAUGCAAAUGCCUAAUGUCCUAAAAAUGAAAUGCAAUAUGCUGAACUAGUCCCAAGAAGAGGAGGGCAAAUUUUGAGGUAUUACAGCUGCCCCUAUUCAAUCCACUGUGAACCUGUCGAUAUGAACAGCCUCGGCUUUCAGAUGAUCAGGGUGAAGAGUGAUUGAAUACCAGCCCCUAUUCAAUCCACUGUGAACCUGUCGAUAUGAACAGCCUCGGCUUUCAGAUGAUCAGGGUGAAGAGUGAUUGAAUACCAAGAACAGACGAACAAUUUGCGCUCCGCUGGGGAUUAUUAUAUAUAUUUUUUGCUUUUCUUGAACCCCACAACUUUUUAAUUUUUCUCUUUUUCUUGAACCCCGCAACAUCUUUGAUUGAUUUUUUUUUGCUUUUCUUGAACCUCGAACAUAUAUUUUCUUUCGCGCGGACGAUCCCGGAUCACCGCAUUUGAACCCCGACAACUUCAUAUUACUCUCGUUUGCCAAAUCAUGAACCCCGUUCUCCAGUUGAACCCCAGUCGCCUGACGAUAACUCGCGAUCGCCGUUGUGAACCCCAUUCUCCAGAAAACACCCCGUGCCUUCCUUUCUCCAUUUGGACCCCGCUCUCCAGAAAACACCCCGUGUCUUCCUUUCUCCAUUUGGACCCCGCUCUCCAGAAAACACCCCGUGUCUCCCUUUCUCCAUUUGGACCCCGCUAGCUCUCCAGAAAACACCCCGUGUCUUCCUUUCUCCAUUUGGACCCCGCUCUCCAGAAAACACCCCGUGUCUCCCUUUCUCCAUUUGGACCCCGCUCUCCAGAAAACACCCCGUGUCUCCCUUUCUCCAUUUGGACCCCGCUCUCCAGAAAACACCCCGUGUCUUCCUUUUUCCAUUUGAACCUCGAUUUUCGCGCUGAUCGCGUAACGUCCUCUGAUCUUCAUUUCCAACUCCGUCCGACGGAAUCUCUUCCUCCAAUAUCGCACUACUGGAGAAUAUUGUUGAUUCAGAAUCACGAUGCCGAACUCCUCAGAGUAACAUCUUCCAAGUUCCAUCUCGCACGACAGAAAUUCUUCCUCCAAUAUCGCACUACUAGGGAAUACUGCUGAUUCAGAGUCACGAUGCCGAACUCCUCAGAGUAACAUCUUCAUCAUCCGGCGAAACCAAUUCUCAAACGGUAACCACGGCUUGAGUCGAAUUUAUACUUGCAACGCUGAUCUUCCAACCAGCGAAACCAAUCCUCAAACGGUAACCAUGGCUUGAGACUAGUUUAUGCUUGCAAUGCUGAUGCAUGAAGAAACCAAUCCUCAAACGGUAACCAUGGCUUGAGACUAGUUUAUGCUUGCAAUGCUGAUGCAUGAUUUUUUUUACAGCGUAAUGCUCCAGAACCAUGGAAAUGCUACGCAAUUAGCUAUGCAAUAUGUUAUGCUUCUCUAAAUGAUGAAUGCAUAAAAAAGUAUCCCCCUCAAGGGACUCUACUGGGGAGCUCGAGGCACUCUGCUGAGGAACUCGCUACCACUCCAAUCUCCACCAUGUUGGGGAAUAGCACUGUUGCUGGGGAAAUGACCACCCUCACCAGGGAUGACCUCCACUAGACCCGAUCCGCUUGGGGACUUCGCUAGGGAAGAAACCACCAACACACUCUGCGGGGAAAACAACAAUCUUUAACUUGCUGGGGAAAUAACAACCUCCACCCUGCUAGGGAAACAACCUCAGGUCUGGUUGUCGAAGAAACACCGACCUCGAACCUGCUGGGGAGAACAACAACCUUCAGGCAUGGCUGCCUAAGAAACAUCGAUCUCGAAUCCGCUUGGGGAGAUACAACAUAUCUGAUAUGGAACACCUGUCGACUCGUCGAACACUGGCAUUCACUAUCUAACCAUAGUGUCAGCUUUCCACUUUUGAAAGCUCCCAGACUCGUCUGGACUUUUCUGAUUCAUCACCUUGCAUUCUUGACUUCUCCGUACUCUACAGAGAUCGAACCCCUCAAAUUGGUAUCAACUUUCCAAUUCUUCAGACUUUGAAGAGUCUUCUUGAUUAAUCCUCCAGGAUCGUCGCACGUUCUUUCGUUGUCUUUACACCAUUCUUCCAUUCCUCGUCCCUGAUUGGACUCAACGGGGAUCUUUUGUCAAAAAAGUUUCACAUCGCAACCUGCAAAUGAGUGAAAAUAUCUAACAGCACCUGCAAAAGAGAUCGUUAGAUAAAAACGUGCCCCAGGCGCGCCAAAAUUUCAACACCUGGGUCACUCAACCUUCCGAAUAAGAUUUCAAGUUCACAAUCCUAUAAGCAUGCAUUGGAAGGGAUCUCCAUGUCUCAAAAUGCAAAGAUUCUUUAUCAAAAUAAACUGAUGUUUUUGCAAUCAAAGCGGUAAUGAAACCAAAAAAACAAAAUUAAUUUGACUGAAUAUGCAUUUUAUUGACUGAAAAAGGUGGCUCAAAAAUCGAGCAAUACACAGGAAGCAAUCCCUGAAAAGAGGUAAUUGCGUACAAAAGGAAAAUCUAUCCUAAUGGGAAUGUGAACCCGUGAUCUCAUCGAGUUCCAACUCGGUUACACCCCAUAUGUCCUCAAGACUCCCCGUACUUUCUGCCUUCUGAACAAGACGCUUCCGACUGAUCUCUGCAGGGGAAUAUCCACAGUGUCUUAACCACAGUACAAACGAUCAUGCUAGACGCAGUUGUUCGUUUCAAUCCCUCUCUUGCCUGGACCGCCCUUUCGGGUUUUCAGUCCACCGGGAUACCCUUUUUUGACCAAGCCGCCCUUGUGGGGUUUUCGACUUGCCGGGUGUACAGUUUUUUCUUCUUUAUCCCUAAUUUUUGCCCGAACCUUUUUUCCUUUUUUUUCGGUUCGCCGGGAUGCCCUUUUUUGUCUGGACUCUUUUAUUCUUUUCGUCCAGCGGGUCUCUUAUACGAAGUAUUUUUUAACUGCGUCCGCAUUCACAGGGGAUGGAAAAUCCUCGCCAUCCAUGGUCAUCAACAACAAGGCUCUGCCAGAGAAGACCCUCUUGACCACGAAUGGGCAUUCAUGAUUGGGUGUCCACUUGCCCCUACGAUCGUUCUGAGGAGGAAGGAUCCUUUUCAAAACCAUAUCUCCCACGUGAUAUACCCGAGGUCGCACCUUUCGGUCAAAAGCACGCUUCAUCCGCUGCUGGUACAACUGCCCAUGACAAAUGGCCGUGAGCCUCUUUUCCUCAAUCAGGCUCAACUCUUCGUACCGAGUCCUUACCCAUUCCGCCUCUUUCAAUUUUACGUCCAUCCGGACUCUCAAUGACAGAAUCUGGACCUCCACGGGUAGCACGACUUCCAUCCCAUACGAGCGAGAAAGGCGUUGCCCUAGUAGAUGUACGCACCGAGGUUCAAUACCCGUGCAAACUUCGUAUUCAGCCACAUCGUUGGUGCAUUCAACUGUUAGCCGGGCAACAAAAGGAAUGUGGGAUCCUUUCGACGUAACCAAAACAGCUCCAACUCAUUACCAUUCUCAUUAACGGCCCCCAUCAAACAUCAGAAUCCGUUCGGAUUCAGGGUCAGGCCGCCUCGCUGCCGGGGACGGUCCUCAGCAGUCUUUCGAUUUGAAGAACCAUGAUUGUCCCUCAUCAGGGAACUCAAAGCUUCAUGCGGUUAUGAUCCUGUGAUGGGUUGCUAGGCGAGGUAUUCAGACAAUUACAACUUCCCUUUUUGCUUUGUCUGAGAGGUAUACUGAAUGGUCGUAUUCAGUUCAAUAUCAUGUUGCCAUCUCGCAACCUCGUCCGGUCAAUGUUGGCUUCUCAACUAUACUUGAUCGGAUCCAUCUUGGAAAUGCACAGAUAGUGGGUAUGAAACAGCAUCAUACUGUCUCAGUCGGCGAGCAGCCUAUGCCAAAGUACAGCAAGUUUUCUCGAGCAGUGAAUAUAUUGUUUCACAGUCGGUAAACUUUUUGCUAAGGUAAAUUGCAUGCUCUUUUUGACCAGACUCGUCAUGCUGCCCCAGUACACACCCCAUAGACCCCUUGAGGACCGUCAAGUACAGAAUUAACGGUCGUCCCUCCACGGGAGGCAUCAGAACCGGAGGCUCCUGCAAAUAUUUUUUAUUUUUCAAAUGCCACUUGGCAAUCAUUAUUCCACCUGACCGUUUGAUCUCUUUUUUUUUAAAUAUAGGUUCACAUGUGGCUGUUAGUUGAGAUAUGAACCGCGAGAUGCAGUUCAAUCUACCUAAGAAACCACGAACCUCUUUCUCUGUUCUCGGUUCAGGCAUUUCUCGUAUUACUUUUUUCCUUUUUUUUUAGCAGGAUCAACCUCAAUUCCUCUUUUCUGCUCACAAUAAGCCCCAACAACUUACCGGACCGCACUCUGAAAGUGCACUUAUUCGGAUUCAACCUCAGUCUGAAUUGUCUCAACCGGUCAAACAACUUGGCCAGAUCUACCAAAUGCCCCUCUUCUGUUUGGGACUUUGCUAUCAUGUCAUCAACAUAGCAUUCAAAACCGGUCAAACAACUUGGCCAGAUCUACCAAAUGCCCCUCUUCUGUUUGGGACUUUGCUAUCAUGUCAUCAACAUAGCAUUCAAUUUCAUGAUGAAUCAUAUCAUGAAACAAAGUCACCAUAGCCCCUUUGAUACAUGGCACCGGCGUUCUUGAGACUGAAUGGCAUCACCUCCACUCUUGUCACUCUCCUCCAAGGUGGCCCCAACCUUUACUUCCUUUCAGACCUCCUCGGUACACAGGUUAACAAGCUCAACUCGCUCCUCAUGCAGCUGAAUCACCUUCUCCUCUGGAUUCAACAACCUGGUUAAUCUUCCAGCAGAUCACAAUCUUCUUCGCCUUUUUCUUCGGCAUGAUAGAUCGGAUUGUCGAAGUCAUACAAAGGUGUAACCGAAUUGUUAUCAACGAGAUCCGGAUAAUACAACAGUUGGAAUGAAGCCAAUCAAAAGGAAGGAAAAAUGAAAAUAAACAUUGCCAUUUUUAUUUUUGUUUUAAACUGCAAAAACAAAUGAAAAACAGGGAACACCACUUUUAAUGUGAAAAACAUCCAUUUAUUAAUGAUGCAAAAUGUUGCAAAAUGAAACACAUGAGGUGGCCCUUACAAUGGACCAAUACGUUUCGGGCAAAACGUAUGGCUUUCAUGCAAACAGAAUUGAAAAACAAGAAAAAUGAAACACAUGAGGUGGCCCUUACAAUGGACCAAUACGUUUCGGGCAAAACGUAUGGCUUUCAUGCAAACAGAAUUGAAAAACAAGAAAUAUUACUCUUCACGUAGAGUGACAGUGAUGAUCUUUUCGGCCUUCUAGUUCUGAGUCUCCAUCCCUGGUACGCACGGUUUUAUCUACGAGUCAAGCUCACAGUCACUGUCGAUCUCCUCACUCACAGCACAUGCGUGAUUUGGAUCUGGCAUUCCAGCACUGGUGAUCGUGAAUGGCUGACGACGGCCUCUAUUUUGCCCAGACGAGUCUUGGCCCGGCUGAUAGCCAUCCCCAAACCUGUCUUCCUUCGCCGCGAUGUCCAUCAUCUUUCCCCAACCUGGGGCUUCUCCACUCUUCACCACCUCAGCUGCCUGUUUGUACGAAGAAAUGGACAGCUUCUUCUCUUCUUUUUUAGCAAAAGUGGCAUUCUCUACCUUGACGGUUUCGAAUACCUGACUCGGUGUUUCAAAUAUCUCACCGUCCAUUUCCACGUACUUGAACGAUGCCAGUUGGCUGAUAAAAAUAUCCUCCUCUCCCCAAUCAACUUUCUCAAAUCGGAGACGUCCUUCAUCCAUCAUUCUCUGAAUCGUCUCCCUCAGCAUUACGCACCCAUUCGCAGUGACGGUGCAAGCAGCACAACGAUUAUCACAACCAGGGAAAAACCUUCAUCCAUCAUUCUCUGAAUCGUCUCCCUCAGCAUUACGCACCCAUUCGCAGUGACGGUGCAAGCAGCACAACGAUUAUCACAACCAGGGAAAACUCCACUCUUCAUCAGAUGUCUCUUGACCACAGACAUUGGAGUCCUUAACUGAUUCACAUCCGUCACCUCCAUUUUUCUCUUAUCCUCUGACAUCACAUUCACUCCCAUAGGACCAUGCGUUGGCAUGGGGUUAGCAUUAACAGUCGGCGUCGGUGCAAAAUUGAUGGCUUUAGAAUCCACCAAAUCUUGAACGACAUGCUUAAAAGCUUUACAACCCUCAAUAUGAUGUCCGGGUGCACCAGAAUGGAACUCGCAUCUGACAUUCUCCUCAUAAUUUGCAAGCCUCUGAUCCGGUCUCACUGGAGCCAAUGUCCUUGGCUGAACCAACCCAAGAUCCUUCAACCUCUUAAACAGAAGAGCAUACGCCAUGGGUGGCUUAUCAAACUGACGAUCAGUCAUCCUUCUUCUCGCUUGGCACCCAGCUCUCAGUGUUCUCUGUUGAGGUGGCUGCUGUUGCUGUCGUACAGAUUGAUUGCCAGCAGGAAUCAUUACUGUAGCAGCAUACGAGUGGUAACGAUCCCUACUAUGUCCCCUUUGGGCAGAUACAUCGCUCGAUUCCCCCUCCUUCUUGCGCUGACUAUCACCAAAGGGCUUCUUUACUCCCGACGACGGAGCAUUUCCCUGUAUUUUCUCCAUUCUCAGCCAGCUUUCAAUUCUUUCCACCUUCUCGGUGAUUGCUUUCUGCCCCAAGGUGAACUCUUGCAUGACACUGAUCAGCUCACUCAUCUUCUCUUUCAGCUCGAGGAUGUCAGCGUUGGGUGGAUUCAUCAUUCCUGAGUCAAUCAAACAUGUUAGAUACUGACACCUGCAAAACAAAAGACAAGUUAUUAUGACUCACACAUGAAUGCAAUGUCUAUCCGUAUGAGGAACAUUCUGUCCUUCGAUUCUGGCUUCAUCGAGACGGAUAAUAAUUUGACAAUAACAUUCUGACAUCAGGAUGUCUCUCAAUCCUUCGAUUCUGGCUUCAUCGAGACGGAUAAUAAUUUGACAAUAACAUUCUGACAUCAGGAUGUCUCUCAACCAGAAUCUCAAUCGAGAAUGUACCCUGAGUAUGGAUAGACAUGAGUUAGAUGCAUAUGAAUGCAAAAUGUGGAUGAUGUAGAUGCAUGAAUGCAAGUCACUGUGCCAUCCUCCAAGUCAUCUGAACAUCAACUGCACUGAGUCCCGGUCUCUGAACUGAUCACAACCAUCUGAGGUAUUGAGUAACCAUAAAUCCAACUCGGGGUUCCAAAAUAAACGGAACGGAAGAUAUACCACCAUCAUCACUGGAAAACCACUGAUUUGAUAACAACAAAAUCAUCUGUAUCAACCCAGGGAAUCCUGAAAUAAACGGAUCCCCACUGAUAAAUACCGCGGACAGAAUUCCGGCGUCUCGGAAAUAAAUACCCAUAAAUCCAUCUAAACCAUUAGUCACCAUCAGAAAGUCACCAUCAGAACAUGCAUCUGUAAGAAUCAACCCUCCCCUCACAGGUGAAUUCUAACAAGGUCAUCCUAAGGCGGAUGAUGGCCUCGACAAUCGGACAAGAUACUCAACGGGUUUGCCCUUUCGGGUGUGCCGCUGCAGCUCUCAUAAGAUCGUCUAAACCAAAGAUCCGGGAAAGAGCGGUCACCAAAGUCAAUAGCUCAAAAGAGGCAACCCAACCAAAGUGGAAUACUCCACCCGAAGGAGCUCUCUCAGAUGAACCUCGUCCGGCUUGUGGUAUAUCACGUCACAACAACAUGCCCAACCAACAUGUGAGGAACGUGAGACCAUGCUAAUCCUAGGUGUAUACUCGGGCCUGGGUUUUAGCCCCACUCAGAACACCCACCCCAAAUCAGAGGAACCAAACCUGUACAGAAUCCAACAUAAUGAUAAUAUGAUGCAUGCAAACAUAUAUGCAAAUAUAUACAAUCAACAGUAUAAUAAUCAUAAAUGCUAUAAAUAAAGCAGCAAAAGCAACCAAAGCACGAGGAUUGACUCGCUUAGGGAAGAUGGACCAGCAAGAGGUCAACUUCUAUAAUUCCCCAGUAGAGUCGCCAGCUGUCGCAUACGCGAAAAACAACCGGCGGGAAAAGACAUAGAGCCGCCACCGUGCGUUAUUUAUCCCAAAGGAGGGAAAGGAAACGCUCGAAGUAAACCUGAAAAAGGGAAAGGAAUGGUCUUACGACCAGAGAUUGCAAGGUACAGGAGUCGGUUACGCAAGGGGAAGGUAUUAGCACCCCUCACGUCCGUCGUACUCGACGGGAUCCACGCUCAAAAGAAUAGAAUAAGGUUGUGUCGCAUCCGCGAAAAACAACCGGCGGGCUAAAACAAAACAACACAGAGCCGCCACCGUGCGUUAUUUAUCCCAAAAGAGGGAAAGGAAACGCUCGAAGUAAACCUGGGAAAGACAUGGUCUCGCGACCAAAGAGAAUGGGAUCGGGAGUCGGUUAUGCGAAGGGAAGGUAUUAGCACCCCUACGCAUCUGUCGUACUCGACGGGAUCCACGCUUAAACGAUAGAAAAAGGUUGCUAAAACAAACAUCACACACACACACACUGAAGAUAACACAGGUGGAGGAAAAGGGGAGAGGGCUCGCUAGGAUAUCGCAUCCUAUGCCUACGUAUCUCGUCUGGAACGAGAAUCAGAGCUACCGUAGUUCGGCUCACGCACGCCGAAACCAAACACACACAAGCAGGCAAACAUGGAACCCGAAUGCCAAUCGCUGGACUUAUAUCAGCUUCCGAACCAACAAACCCACACUAGAAACCAGAUGCCACUUGAUGGACUUAUACCGGACUCCAAGCACACAACAAGAGGAUACGGAAUGCCAAUCGCUGGUCUUAUAUCCAUCUCCUACACACACAAGAAGAAACAAACAACAAGUUACUAAGGAGUCAGGCACUCGAGCCUAGCAACUGUCAAGCAAAUACACACAAAAAGAAAAAAAGUGCCCUGAGAGAUCUCGUGCGACCUCCUGCCUACGUACCUCAUCUGGUAUGAGGAUCAAGGCAACGUAGUUCCCCUUAACAGGGGAGAUACUAUCUCCUAACCAGAGACUGGGAAAUGACCAACUAAAAGGGAGACUGACUCGAGCCUAAUAGUUAUCAUGUAUUCCACAAUGGUCCUAGGUUGAGUUUUCUAUCUACUUGCACAAGCAGCAAGCUAAUCCUAACCAGGCAAAGCAAAGCAUGCAAGCACAAUCAAAACAAAGCAAAUAUUCACAGUUAGCACACACUAUAUACAGACAGAUGUGGCUCAAUCAAGGGUUAGGUUGCAAAAGCAAGCCAACUGUAUCAGGGCGAGGUUAGCUCUUAACCCUGACAUUGAGAGUCAGGGUGAAGCUGAUGAAAUAGGAAGUGAGGGGUGUACCUCACAGCUCUUAUCCCUGGCUAGGGAGAGCUUCAGACAAAGGAAGUGUGGGUCCAGAAAGUGGGAACCCUUCUACACUUAUGACUGACUCAACUGUACAACUGUACAAGGAUCUUGGGUUACUAUCCUCAAGGCAUCAACAUGUAAUGUGAGCCAAGGGAUGACUCAACAGAAGAGCAGGAGAUGGAUUGCAUAUCUCUUGUGUCUGCCAAUUGCCUUAUUCAAGGUCUUUUCCUGCUUGGGGACAAAGAUAAACAAGCACAAUCAUUGCCUCUUAAGGAGGACUUCAGACAGGUGCCUGGCCAAGUAACAGGCCAGGUCUUCCAGACUACAUGGAGAAAAGAAAUUCUACCUCAAUUGGUUAAUACAACCAAGCAACAGCACAAGCAAGUUCACAAUGAACUAUAGCAACUAAUGUACCUGAAAUCAAUCUAACAUAAUCAGUACACAGCUCAAACAGUCAAACAGACAAACUAAAAGUCAACAGUUAACUGUACACAAGCAAUGCAUCAAGCAAAGCAUAAGCCAAUGCUCAACACAAAUGACUUAGAAGCCACCUACAAAACAAACUUAAUGUUAAUCAACAUCAAUCAAAUGAUCAACUCAAGCCAAGUGAAUUAAUUCCUCCAUGCCAUAUGCUUUUCGUCCUGAAAAUACAACUCAAACAUGAGAAGCAAACCCCUAGGACAAGGCCUAGGGUCAAAAGGAGAGAAAUAUUUCAAAACAGAACAUGAAAAUUAUCAAAAAUCAAAUUCAAUCAAAUUAGAAACAAAUCCAAUUGGUCUCAUGUUCAUAUCAUACACCAAAAUUAUUUCACAAAGCAUCUAAGGCAAAAUGUGCAAUUCAAAGCUCAUUGGACCAAACAGAAUGAAUCAAUCCAAACUCAAUCAAAAACAACUCAAUAAAUCUCCAGAAAUAUCAUAGCUAAACAGCAUUCAUAACAUGAUCUACACACCAAAUUUCAAGCCAUUUGGACCAAGGGAAGCAAGUCAAUUAAAUUCAUCAAGUCAAGUCAUGUUCAAACAAGCUCAUAUAAGACACAAUAUCAUGCAUCAACUUCAAGCAAGCACAAAACAGAGUAGGAACAUGAUAAAUGCACCAAACCAAAACCAAGAUACACUUCAAGAUGUCUAAAAUCACUCCACAAAAUUUCAAGUCCAUCCAAUACAUAUCCAAAAUUUCACAAAACAUUUAAGAUUAUGACUCACAAAAGGUUCACAUUUGGUCAAACAGAAAGGAAAUUCUCAAACAAAUUGGAAAUGCACUCAAAAAUUCCACAAAAAUUCACAUGUGAACCUAACAUCCAGAAGUAUCAACAUGCAAAAUUUCAGCUCAUUUAAAAUUCAUAGGGCAUGGAAAAUAAAAUCAGGAAGUUAGACAAGAAAUGGUGUGACACACAUUGUCACACCUAGAUUCAAAUGAUCAUAUCUCACAAUCCAGGAAUGAUAAAGUAGCAAACUCAAAGCCAAAAAAUCCCUAAAGGUCUCUAGUUUGCACAUGUAAAGUUUCAGCUCCAUCCAAUUAAGCAUCAUCAUUUCAUGAUCAAAACAUCCAGCAAGGUGCAAGCAAACACAUGUUCAUACAAACCCUAGGCCAUUCCAAAAACCACACGUGCAAAAUUUCCACAAAAAUCACCAAAAAAUACUAGAGAUUACAAGGAUCAUGGUGAAAAAAAAUUCAUCUCAAUUGGAUUAAUGGUUUAUGAGUUAUGAUUUUUGGAAUGUUGAGAAAAAAUAAAAAAACAAUGAAACAAGCAUGUGAAAUAUAUGAAGCAUAUGGAAAUAAAUUGCAAAUGCCAAAAGUGGAAUUGACAUAGCAUGGAAUCGAAGGGAGUCCAAGUUCAAAAUGUAGCGCGCGCUACUGUAGCUACUAACACCAAUCAGCAUGGCAAAACGCGCUAACAUGGAUCAAACAGCCAAUUCUGGAAAAAUUCAAAUGUUCUUCAUGCGUUCAUACCAAACCCUAAGCUCAAGAACUUUUUGUCACGAAAAUGGACAAACCAUACACCAUUGGAAAGAUCUCACAAUGCACAACACGAAUAUGACAUCAAUUAACCCUAACUCUUCCUAGAUUAAAAGAAUCGAAGCAAAACAUUAUCAUGCAUCAAAGUUCAAAUCAAUGUAACUCAUUCAUUUCUCAACCAAAUUCAAUGAUUCCAAUUGCAGAUCACUCUACUAAGCAAGAUCUAUCCAAAUCAUAUAUCAAUUGCAAGAAUCAUUAAAUUCGAAAACUCACCUUCUUGGAUUGGCAGAAGUGAAAACGCGCGUUUCAGGCUUGAAGAAGCAAAAACAGAAGUUCUAUGAUGCUAGUAUUGAUGAAUGGAACAAGGUUUGUGUGUUGAUUAUGCACGAUCUAGCUCAAAACUUGAAUUGCCAUGGAUGAAGCUCUCUUUAACAGUCCAAAAUUCAGCUUGAAUUCCACUAGUUCUUGCUCCAAUUAGCUUCAAAAAUGCUCAAGAAUGAAGGAUAUGUGAAGAUCCAUGCAAGGUUUGUGGAGAUUUUUGGAAAAAAAAGUGAGAGAGAAAGUGAAGAGGUUUUGUGAUUUUCAGAUCUAGAUCUUGAUUCUGUUGUUGCUAAUCAGAAAACAGUUACAAUUUAGUUUAUAUAUGCAUUGUUAAACAUGUUAGUAAUCAUGAUUAGUGUAAUUACAAUGGAUUAGUGAAAAUCAAGUUUUCAUGCUAAAUGGCAAUUUGGUCAAUUCACCCACACAUGUGCAAUGCAAUGUAACAGUGCCAAUUUCUGGUUUGAGCAAGUUUUAAAACAUGUUUGUGAGCUGAUGCAAGUGGAAUCAUGUGAAAACAAGGCUUAUUUCUCAAAAACACCUUUUUCCCUCCAAAUUUCAAAAUUGGUUCACUUGAAAAAUGGACUUUUUAUGUGAUGAGUUUUCAUGACAGGUAAUGCUUGUUUUGGAUAGAGGACAUCAAAAGAAUUUUGCUCAAAAAGGUCUCACUCCAUUUGGCCUUGUGAAUCAAAAGUUAUGCAACUUUGAAAUUCAACUUUUUUGGACAAUGAUCAAUCCAUAACUUGCCAACCACAAAUGAGAAAUUCAUGUUCUUGGACUUUUUGGAAAGGUGAGAGCAAGAUCUACAACUUUCAUGUUGGACAAAAUUUCAUUUGAAGCAUUUUUGGACAUGUAAUUUUGAGGAGAAAACCUUUUCAUUUUUGGCAAUUUUGAAUUACAAGUCACUUUCUAUUUUUGGAAAGUUUCCAUCUGACUUUAUUUUCUUCAUUGUUGAUGUUUGAAAUGUCAAAUGAAACUUGUUUAGACAUGAAUGAAGUGUCUCUAGCCCUCUCCCACCUCCAAAUCCAUCAGUUGACCUUUGGUUGACUUUUUCUGACUGAUAGAUGAACUGGCUGUGCAUUGUUGAACUUGAGCCUCAAACUCCUGAUGAAAUGGCUCAAUGAUGAAACCCUAGCUUCCAUAAGCUCAAUAUAAUCACAUGAUGAUCCCCAUAUCAAUUGAAAACCUCAUCUCCUUGCUAAGCCCUGAUUGGCCCAAUACAACUGAUUAGGGUUGACCAGAGGUCAAAACCCUAAUCUCAAGGUAUCUGAUCAAUCUCUUGGUGAUGACAAAACCAUGAUGAUGAUGAUGUAUCAUUUCAACCAAGAUGAAGCUCAACCUCCUUGAGAAUAAAAAAAAACCCUAACUUGAAACACACAUCCUCAGAUGAUUAGUGAUCCAUUCAAUGAAACCCUAGCUUGCAUCUUAACCUCUUUAUCUUCUGAUCAAGACUUAGGAGGAUGACUUGCUCAAUGUGGCCAUAUGAUGUGCAAAUAUGCAAUGCCUAAUGACCUACAAAUGAAAUGCAAUAUGUUAAGCUAGUCCCAAGAGAGGAGGGCAAAUUUUGAGGUGUUACAGGUUGCUGAUAAAAAUUGCUCAAAGAAUGCACAUACACUGGAAUGAAACACAGGCGAAGGAAGAUGGAGGAAGGGGACUCGGCAGGAUGUCGCAUCCUGGGCCUACGUAGUUUGUUAGAAACAAACAUCCGAGUCGACGUAGUUCGGGGAAAUGGGAAACGGGCUCGCUAGGAUAUCACAUCCUAUGCCUACGUAUCUCAUAUGGAAUGAGAAUCAGAGCUACCGUAGUUCGGCUAACGCACGUCGAAACAAAACACAACACAAAGACGCUGAGACAUCGAAAGAAACCACACAAACGCAAAUAGGAAACGGAAUGCCAAUCGCUGGUCUUACAUCCAACUCCAAACAAAAGAAACAGGAAACAGAUAGCCAAUCAAUGGUCUUACAUCUGACUCCACAAACAAACAAACAAACAAACAGGAAACGGACUGCCAAUGGCUGGUCUUACAUCCAACUCCAAACACACAAACAGUUAACAAAUUGACAAGCUAACAGGGAGUCUGGUACUCGAGCCUAAUAGCUGUCACAACAACACACACAAAAAAGAAAAAGGUUGCCCGGAGAGAUCUCGCACGAUCUCCUGCCUACGUACCUCAUCUGGUAUGAGGAUCAGGGCGACGUAGUUCCCCUUAACAGGGGAGAAACUAUCUCCUAACUAGAGACCGGGGAAUAACAAACUAAAAGGGAGACUGACUCGAGCCUAAUAGUUGUCAUGCAAUCCACAAUGGCCCUAGGUUGAGGUAUCUAAACAAAACCUAACUCGCACAAGAAGCAAGUCAAAACGAACAACAAAUCAACAUGUAUGAAAAGCAAACACACAAGCAAUCAUCACACUCUAUAUACAAACAAGAGGCUCAGACAAAAUAGUUGGGCUUUAGUCAAGGGGUCAUAUCAACCUCGACAAACAAGCCGGGCUUUAGUCAAGGGGUCAUAUCAACCUCGACAAACAAGCCAACUGUAGGGGUUUGAUGAAGCUCUUAACCACUGACAUUGACCGUCAGGGUGAGCAGAUGAAAGGUAAUGAGGAUUGGACCUCAUAGCUCUUAACCCGGGCCUGGGUGAGCUUGAAUCAAUGAAAACGUGGGGGUCCAGAAUGAGGGACCCUACUCCACUUGACUGACUCUAUACAAGAUCUUGGGUUAGGUUCAAGAGCAUCAGCACGUAGUGCGAGCAUAAUGAAAGACUCAACUGAAUAGCAGGGGAUUGAUUGCAAAUCCCUUCUAUCUGCCAAUUGCCUCUUCACUUAGGAGGACUUGAAGUACAUGGCACAAAUAUAAACAAUCACAGUCAUUGCCUCUUAAGGAGGAUUUCAGCCAAAUGCCUGCCAAACAGAAACGACAGGGCUUCCAGACUACAUGGAGUUAGAAUGGUUACCUAGGUGGUAUGCCAACCACAAGCAAAGCAACUCAAGCAAUGAGUUAAAGCGGCUAAAGUACCUAUAAGAAAGUCAAACAAGUCAAUAUUCACAUUCAGACAAAUCAACAGUCAAUCACAGUGUUACUAUAUGUACACAAGUCAUGCUCUAUGUGCAAGCAUUCAAGAUAUUCCACCACACUCAGUGAACCUACACACAACAAAAGUUAGUGGACAAAGAAUUUGCAUCUCAAGGUAUGAGAUCAACAUCAACCAUUAAGACUAUAUGCUUGAACCUGAAAUGCAAAACUCAAAAGAUGAGUACAAACCACUAGCACCAAGGCUAGGGUCAAAGGUAAGGCAAAAAGUCAAAACAACAACCAAUAUCCAACAUGAAGCAUAUUUAUUCAAUCAAGAACAUGCCCUAAAAACGACCAAACCUAAAUCACAAGGCAAAUCCAUCAACCAAUCAUGAUAAGGCAAAGGCAAUCACAAUGCACAUAAUUGGACUUCAAGAAUCAAAAUUCCAUAUUAAAACAGAAAUAAAUCAAACAAUCAUGAAAAUAUUUAUAUGCACACAACAUGUCAAACACAAUCAUCAUGCCAAAAAUUAGAAUCAACAGAGCUCAAUUGACCUAGAAAUGAAAAUGAACAAGUAUGACAUCAAAUUGUGUGACACACAUUGUCACACCAUACAUUCAUGUAACAUGUCAAACACAAUCAUCAUGCCAAAAAUUAGAAUCAACAGAGCUCAAUUGACCUAGAAAUGAAAAUGAACAAGUAUGACAUCAAAUUGUGUGACACACAUUGUCACACCAUACAUUCAUGUGUCCCAAAUAGAGAUGAAAAAUGCUAAAAAUGCACAACCAAGCCUAAAAAAUAAUGCAACAUGUUGGGAAUCAGUAUACCAAAUUUCAAAGCAAUUGGCCAAUGUAUGAGCAUUUCACAAAAGAAUUGGUACAACAUGUCACAUUUGCAUACAUGUUCAAUCAACAGUACACAAUCAAAAUUCCAGCAAUGAUAAAAUCAUGAAAUCCACAUCAAAAAAUAAAGGACAUUCAAAUGAACAUAUAGCAAAAAAUUUGGAUUAAAUUGGAUGCAUUUUCAAAUUGUUAUGAUUUUUUGAAGUUGGAUAAAAAAAUAUGAAUUAAUGAAGAAAAAUGCAUGAGAAAAUGGAGGGAAAUGGAAAAGGUGAGGUUAAUUUGAAAAAAUGCUAGAGGCUGGAAUCGAAGUGAGAAUGGCAACGCACUAAAACACGAUCGUUUUGGCCAAGCGAAGAAUCAAAUGGAAAGAAAAAAAAAGUGCGCUUAGGGAGAAUCGAAGCAUGUAUGGCGCGCUGGACUGAAACGACGUUGUUUCAGAGUGCCGCCCCUAGGGUUUGCAGACGGUGGCCAGGACUGCUCACCAGCGGUGGUUUCCACCGUCUCCUUCGUUGAGACGGUGGCGCUACAGUGCCACGCAUGAUUUUUUUGUGCAGAAAACAGCAUAGCCUAUAUCAAACGAAAGCUUUCAACACAAGGAAUACGAAUCUAUCAUCAACUAAGCCUAAUUCUUCAUGAAUCAAGAGAAUCGAACCAAAACAUUUUUGCACUCCAAACUUUAAUUUCACAUAACUCAGCCAAUUCUCAACCAAAUUUCAUGAAAUUUAUAUCAGUGUAACCAGCAUUCAAAGAUCUACAAGUCUAUGCACAUAAAAAGGAGAAUUAAGAGAUUCGAAAACCUAACCUCUUGAAGAGCAGUCAGAUGAGAUGAACAGAUGGAAUUGAGUCUUGGCAGUAGUCCAAUCCAUCCUGAGGGAGUUAUGAGGGGUCUUCGUGCGGUGAUUGAGCUUGAGGCUUGGAGAUGCUUGGAUCUAGCUCAAAAGUCAGUUUCCAUCUUCAUGUUCUUGAGCUUCAUGUGCUUGAUUCUUCACCAAUUUCUUCAACUCAAUGUUUGAAUCCUACCAAAUGAUGAUCAAGGAACAAGAAUAUGCAAUAAAAUAGAGAUGUUAUGUGAAGAGUUUUUGAAUUUGGAUGGAGAGAAAAAUUUGGAGGGAAUUUGGAUCUAGAUCUAGAAUGAUUGAAAACUGUGAAAUUCUGUUAUGAUUAGCCUUUUAUAUGCUAUGUUAAUCACAUUGCUGAUGAUGCUUAGGCUUGACUAAUGAAAAUUUAAUGCAAAAUAAGGUGUUAUGCACAAUUGGACAUUUCACUCUAUGCAUGGCCAUUAUGAACGUGAACAGUAGCAUGCAUGGUGUAUUUUCAGUUAAAAUGAUCUCAUGAACAUGAUGGAAUGGCUAGAAAACUCACAUGAUCAACCAAAUUUAAAUUCAUGAUUUUCCCUCCAAAAAGCACAUGCAUGGACCAAUGAUCAUAUGAUGCUCAUUCAUGCAAUGCCAUGAGGGUUUUGGAAAAUAUGAGUCAUAAGGAGCAUGAUGCAAAAAGAGGCACUCAAUUUGGAGUUUUAGAUCAAAAGUUAUGGCUUGUUGAAGUUCCAUGCACACAUUGCAAUCAAUGGAUCAUAACUCCUCAACCAUUCAUCAGAUGCUCAUGAUCUUGGACUUUUUGGAAAUGGGAGAGAAAGAUAUUCAAUUUUCAUGUUGGACAAAAAUUCAUUUGAAGCUUCUUUGAUGUUGGAAAAUCAAGUUGAAUUUGAACCAAAAACUUGCCAUUUUUGGAAACUUCCAAUUACAGGUCACUUUCCAUUUUGGGAAACUUUUGAUCUGGCCUCAAAUUCUUCAAGAUAUGUAUUUAAUGAUGAAUAAGCCUCUUUGGGACAUGAAUGAAGUGUCUCAAACCAUUUCUCCCCCCUCCUAGCCCUCAGUUGACUUUUAUGGGCCCCUAGAUGACUUGGCAAUGCACUGAUGACUUUGAGCCUUUAACACUUGGCCAAUUUGCUUCAAAAUGAACCUUGACUCAUAUAAGCUCAAUAGAAUGAUCAUGUGAUCCCCCUCUCAAUAGAAUACCUCAUUUACUUAAAAAUCACUGAUUGGAAGAAUGCAAUUGAUUAGGGUUGACCAAAGGUCAAAACCCUAAUCCAGAGGAAUCUAAGCAUGAAUAAUAAACCCCUUGAGGAUGACAAAACCAUGAUGAUGAUAUAUCCUUGCCAAUAAGAUAAUGCUCAAGACCAUUGAUGAACCAAGAAAACCUUAAUUGAAGCACAAACCCUCAGAUGGUUGAUCUCCAAUUCAAUAAGACCCUCAGGCUUGAAUCUCUUAACCUCUCUAUCUUCUGAGAAAGACUUAGGAGGAUGACCUGUUUAUUUCACAUGAUAUGCAAUAUGUAAAUGCCUAAUGUCCUAAAAAUGAAAUGCAAUAUGCUGAACUAGUCCCAAGAAGAGGAGGGCAAAUUUUGAGGUAUUACACUGCAGACUCUGAAUGCCUUAGUGCAACAAGUGGUGUGAAGGAAAGUGAGUUGUGGCACAAAACAUUUGGUCAUCUGAAUUUUAAAAUCUUAAGGUAUUUGAAUUUAGAGAAGUUGGUACAUAGAAUUCUUGCAACAAUAAGCCAGAGAAGUCAUGCAAUGUGUGCAUGAGAGGGAAGCAACCAAGACUUCCAUUUGCAUCUUAAAUGCCUCCAAGAGCAAAUCAUGCUCUAGGUGUGGUACAUUCUGAUGUGUGUGGAACAUUUCUAGUACCUUUACUUGGAGGGAAUACAUAUUUUGUGUCAUUUUUUGAUGAGUUCACAAGGAUGCCGUGGGUAUACCUUAUAAAUUUCAAACAUGAGGUGUUUGCUGAAUUUAAGAAAUUCAGAAUCAAGGUUGAGAAUCACAGUGGCCAGAAGCUGAAAAUUCUCAAAACUGAUGGUGAAGGUGUGUAUAACUUUCUAGAGUUCAGAAUGUUCUAUGAAUAGAAUGGAAUUGAGCAUGAGGUGACUGCUUCAUACACUCCUUAACAUAAUGGUCUUACUUAAAGAAGAAACCAAACUUGGCUUGAUGUGACAAGGAGCAUGCUGAAGGAGAAUAAUCUACCUCACACUUUGUGGGGGAGAAGUUGUUGCAACUACAUCAUAUGUGCUCAACAGGUGUCCAACCAAGAAGCUGAAGGAAAUUGUUCCUUUAGAAAAGUGGACUGGAGAUAAGCAAAGUGUGAGCCAUCUGAAAGUGUUUGGUUCUAUUUGUUGCAAACAUAUUCCAGAUGCUAAGAGACAAAAUUUGGAUGACAGAAGCAUAAUCAUGUUGCUUAUAGGCUACCAUAGUACAUGUGCUUAUAAGCUCUAUUGUCCUGUCACUAACAAGGUUGAAUUCAGUAGAUAUGCCAUUAUGAAAGAAUCAAAAGAGUGAUAUUGGAGUAAAUCUAAAUCCAACUCUCGUGCAAUAUUAACACUUGAUUUAACUUCUGAAGAGAUUUCUGACUCUUAAGGAGUAUUUGCCUUUGAAGAUGAUUCAGAAUCAAAAGCUGAUUCCAAAAGUGACUCUGAAGGCGAGUUUGAUUCUGAAGGUGAAUCUAAUUCUGGUCCAGAUUCGGAUGGUAAUUCAAACUAUGGAGGAGAUCCAGACUCUUGGAAUAUUCCAUACUCUAAAGGUGGUACUUCUGGGGUUCCAACAUCUGAUAAUAUUCCAGUGUCCGAAGAGGAUUCUGAACAAGUUCAGAGACCAUAAAGAAUCAGAAGCAUACCAAGAAGGUUUGUAGAGUUCGACAUGUUGGAAGAUACUGAAAUAGACUAUGAAAGAGAAGUAAUUCAAUGUUCCAUCUUAGUAGACUUUAAACCAAUAAGUGUUGAAGAAGCGCUCAAGAAUAAAGUGUGGCUGAAGGCCAUGAAAUAAGAACUUGAGGCUAUAGAAAGAAAUAAGACUCGGGAGUUAACAAAACUUCCAAAGGACAAGAAAGCCAUCAACGUCAUAUGUGUUUUCAAGGAGAAACUGAAGCCAGAUGGAUCAAUAGGAAAACACAAAGCAAGGUUAGUGGCAAGAGGGUUUCUACUGAAACCUGGGUUAGACUACUUUGAGGUGUUUGCUCUUGUACCGAGACAUGAAACAAUCAGGUUGGUGAUUGCAAUAGCUGCUAACAUGAAUUGGCCUCUAAUACAUUUAGAUGUGAAGUCUGCAUUUAUGAAUGGUCCAUUGCAAUAAGAGGUAUAAGUGUCACAAACUCCUGGAUUUAUGAAAAAGAAUCAGGAAGGGGUGGUGUACAAGUUGCAUAAAUCCUUGUAUGGACCAAAACAAGCGUCUAGUGCUUAGAAUCUGAAAAUUGAUUCAUUUUUCAAGCCCUAAGGUUUCAUAAAGUGUGAGAUGGAGUAUGGCGUUUAUGUUGGCAUACUUCUAAAGAAAAUAUGAUUCUGGUGUGUCUACAUGUUGAUGACAUAUUGCUAAUAAGGAGUUCCAAACAUGAGAUAAUUAAGUUCAAGAAGGUGUUAAUGAAUGAGUUUGAGAUAACUGAUCUAGGAAAGAUGACAUACUUACCAGGGAUGAAGUUUAUGUACUAUAAAAAGGGUAUUAUUUUUCAUUAGCUAAAAUAUGAACUUGAGAUUCUGAAGAGAUUAAAGUCGUUGAAUUGUAAUACCGCGGUUACAACUUUAGAAAUAAAUCACAAACUUGAUUCUAAUCCUGAGGGUGAUGAUGUAGAUGAUACAACUUUCAAGCAGUUGGUUAUCUCUUUGAGGUAUUUGUUUAAUACCAGACCUGAUAUUUUCUAUGCAGUUGGAAUGGUUAGUAGGUUCACGAGUAAACCGAAGUGGUCUCAUUACGAAGUUGUUGUCAGAAUUCUGAGGUAUAUAUGAAGUUUUGUUCCCUUAUGGUGAAAAGGCUAAUUUAGAGUUGAUGUGUUACUCAAACUCUGAUUGGUGUAGAGACAUAGUUGGCAUAAGAAGUACUUCUGGAUAUUUGUUUAAGUAUUUGGGAGGUCACAUUUCUUGGACUUCCAAGAAGCAACCCAUUGUUGAUUUGUCAGCCUGUGAAGCUAAAUAUAUUACAGGUGUUAUGGCUGCAUGUCAAGCUGUUUGGCUUCUGAAUUUACUGCAGGAUCUGAAGAUCAAGGUAAACAAGCCUCUGAAGUUGAUGAUUGAUAACAAGUCUGCUAUCAAUCUUGUCAAAAACCCAGUGCUGCAUGGGAGAAGCAAAUAUAUUGAUACUAAGUAUCAUUUUCUGAGAAGUCAGGUUCAUAAUGAAGUGCUUAAAGUUAUGCACUUUAGCACCCUGAAGUAGCUGGAAAAUGUUCUGACAAAAGUGAUCAAGACUGAUCAAUUUCUCCACUUGAGGGAUGGAAUUUGUGUUGUUAGUUUUGAUUAGCUGAAUAUGAAUUAAUGGAUGGUGUUAGAAGUAAUUCAAUUUCAACAUUAGUAGUAUUUGUUUUGUUAAGCUUAACCUAGCCAGUGUAAGUUACCAUGUUGCCUACAUGGCAUUAUUAUUUAUGUAUAUAUACUAGUGUAGUUGUUAGCAAUCUAUGUACAACAGAACAGUGUGUGUGCAACCAUCUCGUUGUAACCGUUUUAGCAUAGUAGUGGAAGUUUAUUAUUCUCUUUUCUCUCUCUUCUUCAUCUUCAUCUUCUUCACCUUGUGCACCAACAGAAUUUGGAUCGUUUGAUUUCAAUCUAACUGUCAUAAAUACUAUGAUCACGUGAUUACGACAACUUGCUGAAUGCAUUCAACCCAAUUACGCAUAUCUUUAAGUUACCGAGUAAGCAAUAAAGCUCUUGGAUUCAAAUAUCGUUGAACUAUAAUAUAAAUGGACUGCGCUUUCCACCAUAUGUAUUACUCAUCCGUUACGGUAAAAAUUCAAUAAUAUCUAUAAAUUCUAGAUUUUAAUAUUUGAACGCACCUAAAAAUGUCAAACUCUCCCAUAAUUUUGCCAAGUCAAAGGUAAAAACAUGUUCGAAUUUUAAAAUCCAAAUUCACCCUUCUUAAACUCAAUUUUCCAUAAUUCUCAAGGGUUAGUCCGAUAUUAGAAUCCAGAUUGUUCCCUUUUAUGACAAACUAAAAAACAAAAGAAAUGAGAAAUAAUGUUUAGGGGAUUGUCCGAAUAUUAAAAUUUGAAAUAUUCUUUGUUACCACAAAUCAGAAGCAAUUGCAGAAAUGAGAAGAACAACAUAAAUUAACAAAAAUAUUUCAUUUGACAUAUAUAAAAUAUGGAAGAUUACAUAAAUUUUCUAUGAGAUAUUGGAUAGAACUCUAGUAUGGUCGAAAGGUAGCUUCUUGGUUCAACAAUCCAACAUGAUCAUUAGCAUGUUGCCGAAGUUUGUUCACAUGCUGUAGUCGAAGUAUGCUAGGAUUGUUAACAUGUCGAAUUAGGCCUGUUUGUUAUGGCCAAUUGUUUAAGUUGGUUUGUUCUCUAAGUUAGCUUGUGUAAUGGGCUUGUGUGUAAAAGCCCAUUAGUUUAGUGUGUUAGUUUUCUUAUAAAUAGCAUAUUAGUCUCUCAUCAUUGCAUAAUGCAAAUCCUAAUUAAGGUGAGACAAGUUGUUUGCUAUUCUGUGACACUUGUAAUCUUGUUUCAAAGAGAAAGUAAAGAAUAGCAGUUUAUAACCAAUUUCAUUAUGUUCUUAUUGUUUUCUUCUUUUCUACCCUUAUGAGUUUCUUACCGAUCAAGAAACUAAUUAUACUUUGUAAUUCCGACAUCAUUUCACAACAUUUUAUUUCAUCUAAAACUAACAUUACAUUACAUCAUUAAGAAAUGAUUGGGGACGUUUCAACAUCUUUAAAAUAUUGUUGAUCAAUCUCGCAACAGUCGCAUCUACCUUGAUCAGACCAUUUGUUUGUAAUAGUGAAACUUGCUAAAUUGAAUUUUUCCCUUCGUUGUUAAUCGAGUGUGAAUGGUACUCGAUCUUAACCACCUUUUUGUUGUCUAGGUAGCACAGGAGAUUAUUCAAUUUGGAUUCCAGAACAUCAAGAAGGGUGUCAUAUGUGAGCCUAAAAUCAAUAUGAGGACUCACGCCGUUGAAGUACACAAAUGCGAGAUGUCAAUAAAUACCCAUUCUGGUAUAAUUUUGUUAACAACACUAGAGACACUAAUUUUUAUAGAUGUUUUAGAUCAAUCAAUAUAGAUCUUAGAGAUUCAACCGUGUCUCACGGGAUAAUAUAGAUAUUGAAAUUUAUAUUCACCUUUUAACGUAUAUAAAAUAGGUUGUGUCCGAAUAUUAAAAUUCAGUUUCACCCCUCACAUAAAUUAUUUUGGGAGACAUAAACUGGUACAAUCAGAAUUUAUUUUUGGACAUCGAAAAUUUAAGGCCAAAAUUUAUACAAGUAAUGUUAGAUAUACAUUAAAACACAUCAAUCCUACAUUACAUACAAAAAAUGAGUCACCACCUGUAUAUAUUGUAAGAUAAAAACUAAAAUGCAUAAGAACAUGUGUCACCGUUUAAAUCUGUAUCUAUGGGUGGUUCCACCGUUUACUAACUGAUUUGAUUCUCUUUCAAUCUCGUACAAAUUGGUGAACUAUUCCAUCUUAUCCAAAAAGUUAUUCGGCCAAGUUUCAGCUUCUUCCAUGGAAUGAGAUGUAACACUAAAGGGUUCCAAGAGUGCCAAGUGCAUGCAGGCAUACAAUAUGUCCUCGCAAGCGAACUCCACUCCAUUGUGAAACCUUGGCCUUUUAGAGGUUGGGCGUUGGACCUAGUUGGAGAAAUUCGACCAACAUCAUCUAAAAGUCAAAGAUACAUUCUAGUGGGUAUAGAUUAUUUCACCAAGUGGAUUGAGGCUAUACCUUUGACGAAUGUGGACCAAGAGACUGUAAUCGAAUUCAUCCAGAAGCAUAUUACCUAUAGGUUCGGAAUCCCAGAAACUAUUACAACGGAUCAAGGAUCAAUUUUCACUAGUCGAAAAGUCCAGGAGUUUGUUAAGGAAAUGAGGUUCAAAUUAUUGACGUCUACACCCUGUUACGCUCAUGCUAAUGGUCAGGUCGAAGCAACAAAUAAGGUAGUAAUUGGGUUAAUUAAAAAGCAUGUGGGAAAAAAGAAAAGAAAUUGGCAUAAGACAUUAGACCAGAUUUUAUGGGCAUAUCGAACCUCCCCUAAAGAGGCUACAAAUGCUAUGCCUUUCCGGUUAACAUAUGGUCAUGAUGCUGUUUUGCUAGUCGAAAUCUACUUACAGUUAAUAAGAAUUCAGAGACACCAUGAGAUUCCAUCCGAGUCUUAUUGGAACAUGAUGUUGGAUGAAUUAGUUGAUUUAGACGAAGAAAGAUUAAAUGCCUUAGAAUUAUUAAAAAAGCAAAAAAAAAAAGAGUAGAAAAGUCAUAUAACAAAAGGGUCAAAGUUAAAUUACCUUCGACUGGAGAUUUAGUGUGGAAAGUGAUUUUACUCAUGGAUCAAAAAGAUAGAACAUUUGGAAAAUAGUCCCCUAAGUGGGAAGGCCGUUUUCAAAUUACUCAAGUUUUUUCAAAUGGCGCAUACGAAAUCGAAGAAUUGGUUGAAGAUAGAAGACUCUUGAGAGUAAAUGGGAAGUAUUUGAAGAAAUAUAAGCCUACACUUCAGGAGAUAAAAAUAGAAAAAGAGUAAUCUAUGUAAAACAGUCAAAGCCAAAAUGGUAAAAUCAAAGUCAACCAGAUUACCAAAAUGGCUAAGUCAUUACAUAAAGAGCCACAAAGGGCUUUAAAAAUCAUUACAUUAGAAUUAAAUUGUUCAAGAGACAAACAGUUCAAAUAAAUUCGAUCAAUUCAAAAGGGGAGAGAUUAUUUCAUCUUAUGGUACUUCGAUUUUUGAAGUUGUAAGCGACGUUCCCGACCAGAUAUGUAAGAAGUAAGAGUGUCAAAAUCUUCCCCCGGUUUUUGGGCCCUUUCCACAUGUUGCAAGCCAAUUUGAACUUCUUUCGCCAGAACAUCUUCAUUCAGCUUUAGGAGUUUCUCUUUGCGCUCCUUAGCCUUGACAAUUUUGGUUUGCAACUCUUUGUUUGUUGCUCCCAGGAUUUUAUGUUCUUGUCACAGGCUUCGACUUCCUUCAUUAUUCUUCUUAGAAGCUUUCUCCAACCCAACACCUUUCCCAAUGGAUUCAGAGGUUGUUUCCCAUUUUGUUGUCUAGGUUUCUGAUUUGCUUUGAAUUUUGUUAGAAGCUUCUCUUAUUCGACUAAGGUCAACAAUAACACAAUCAAUCAGCAACCCCAAAUCCAUGACAAACUCCGUGGUUUCUGAGGAGGCAUGUACGAAAUCGAUUUGUUUUAGGAGAUCUUUGAUCCCGUAGGAGGCAAAAGUUUCAUUCUCUAAAAGUUGGAUCAAGUCAAUGUCGAAGGCUUUCUCUUUAAGCUUCUGGAGCACUUCGCUACUAGACUGACAUAUAGUUGGACUUCCUGACACUGUCGAAGUGCUAGGACUUUUCUCCGACGAGCCACCUCUGGCACUACUGAUGGCCUUUAGAUAUUCCAGUGGAUUGCUUCGUUUUAGCACUCCUAACUCUAUAGAAGAUAGGGCAAUGGCAGUGUCUGUCGAAGGCUUUAUGGAGUAUUUGGUAGUAUCAACUUUUGGGUUGGUCUUGGGUUGUUCUGGUGUUUGUUGAUCCUCUUAGACAUUCCUUCCUUCAUCACCAACAUCGUUUCGACCCUCAUCCUCAUCCUCAUCCUCUGGGGGUUCUACGUCGAAGUUAACCAUAAAUUGAUCAUCUCCUUAUUCGUUAUCAGGAUCACCCAUAUCUUGGCUAGUUUCGGGUGAACCGUCUUCAGAUUCCUCUUCAGGAAUUUCCCUAGUGUCUUGCAUUUUUGCAUCUUUUUCCACUGGGGCAUCUUCAUCUUGUUCAUCCUCAGGUUCAGAGCCACUAGUAUGGGAAUGUUGGGUGAUGGUUUUUGGUGGAUAAUUUUUCUGUCUUUCUGCAGCAGGAUUGUUUACUUCGCCCAUAGACCCUUUGUAGGAAUCAAGAGGAGUUGUGGGAUGAUACGUUGGAGCCCCACUGCUUUCAGGGAGAAUCAUAACGAUGAUAGGUGUGACAAUUGGAUGUUGGGGACUUCCUGCAGUAACCUAAAAAUAAGACAAGGAUUGGGUAAGUCGAAAGCAAAAGAAGAAUGCAGUUAAUUAGUCAAUAGUAAAGGUGAGACAUUUUACCUUAGGGUCUUCAGCCCCAGGACUGGAGUUAUCACUCUCCAUUUGUUCUGGCAUCUUCUUCGACUUAGGCUCAGAUUAAACUCAGGUAUUUUUAUGGCAGGAGAUCUCUUCGCUGCACUGGUUUUUGCUUUCGGAUAGACCGAAGCACCUUGAGGCUUCAGUUGUUUCUUCCUCCUUUGUUUGGUGGAUUUAAAGGCAUGUGGAGAUAAGUAUCCGUCAUCAGAUUCGAUGGCUUCGACCUCAGUUUCUUUAUGUUUUCUUUUCUUGGGGGUUAGUGGUGGCUUUUGUCUGACCUGAAGAAAAAGAGUGUAAAUAAUUAGCAACAAGAAAGUGAUGCCUAAGUCGAAGGUGUCAAUAUAUGGAAUGUACAUACCUUUGUUGUCGUUGCUUUACCGGUAUCUUCCUCUCUUGCUUCGAUGUAUUUUUUGUUGUGCGGGCAACUUUCUUGGGCGGAACUCUUACAGUUGAUAAAAGAAUAAAAUUAUUAAAAAAUAAAGAAGUGAGAAGGACCAAGAGAAGGAGGGAGUCGAAAAACCUCCCAUUCCACACCUUCAUAGAUUUCAGAUUCUAUAUGAACGUCUUCUAUGCCAUUAUGAAGGUGCCCUUUGAAACUGUCCAAGUUCUGCUUAGUCGAAACUACCCGGUUAACGUUUUUCUGAGAUUCUUGUCGAAUGAUUUUUAUAAAGUCCCCAUAGACGAACCAGUAUGGAAAUGGAGGGAUAAAAUCCACACUGAAUUCAACACUUGGCAAUCAAGGGAAUUUAGGAGGAUACAUAUUAAAAGCAAUUCGAUAUUGUUGCUCAUGUUUAACGUAUGAAGGUAAUUUUAAAAAUUUCAUUUUUUUGGUAAAUUUCUCCUUCAGAGUAACUGCUGCUUCGUAGACGGUUCGACUAAGAUCAUCAGGUCUAUAGGCAGUUUCAAAGUACUUUUGGAAUGCUUGGAUUUCUUUGAUGUGAGUCGAAAUACCUUUUUUAACCUUAUCCUGCACAGAAGUAAAAACUUUGGUGAGAUGAUGAUGAAAUGUAGGAACAUUAAAAAAUUAUGUUUCAUAGUAAUCACGCCACCAAAGGUCGAAUUCAUGAGUGCAGAGAAAGUAAGGUUUGAAGGAGAUUGGACUAAGUUUCGUUUGGCCAUCAUAUCUAGCUAUUUGCCUGCUGCUGGUAGCCUCAGUAUGGAUUGUGUUGUAAAGAAGGAGAGGAUUCUUUCUUUCAUAAAGGGGUUUUGGAAAGAUCUGAAUGGGGCCAAACUUUCGUGCGACAAGAUUUGGUUGAUAUGCUAUAAGGGUAACCUGGCUUUUCGGUUGAUUGAGCCUCAUGGAGAAUACCCUGGGAGUGAGGAAUGCUUCCCAAAUAGUGACUAAUUCAACUUCUUUAUCUUUCGACGAACAAGGAAAUUUCCUCGUAAACCAUUACGGACCAUAUGUUCUUGAGGCAAAGGGGGCCAUGGCUGGAGUAAAGUUGUAGCACUUAGCAAACAUCAUCACAUAAUUGGUGAAGCUUUGUUGAAGGUUUCGACCUUCAUCACUUGGAUUUAACAUUGCUAAGCGCGUUCCUUCGACUCUCCUAUUCUUCACUACUGCAACAUCCGCGACGAUGGGUUUGUGAUUUGGAAAACAUGCUUCAAAACUAGCAUUCAACCAUAACUGUAGUAGCCAGAAAGGACCAAAGAGUAGUAAGUUUCCUUUUGUUCGAAUGUUUUUAAGGGCAAUGACACCUUCACCCAGAGAUUCAUAGAGAUUGGCUAAGAUCAUUUCGCUGAGGCAUACGUUGCGUCCAUCAUGAAGUUGAUUUGCCAAUGUGAGGAAUUUCUUGGCUACUUGGAGAGACUUCGAACAAAAAACACAGCGAGACAACCACAAAGAAAGAAAAGCAAUGUGCUCUGUGUCGAAGACUUCAUCAAUAUCUUUAUCAUGGUAAUAAGAAAUGCAUAUGGUGAAGGCGGCCCUAGAAGUGUCGAAGUCAAUGGUGUCUUUGGAUAGGAAAUUUGGAUCAUAGGUUUCACCCGUAGGCUUAAGCCAUGUGAUGACAGCUAUGUCGAAGAGUGUAGGCAUCGUCAUUCUAUAGGGGAGGUGAAAAGUGUUGUGGGUACUAUCCUAAAAGUAUAAAGAAGAAACCUGCAUGGCCUGGCAAUAACCAAGUCCUACUUUUGACAAUUGUAUUAAGUCGAAAAUACCCAUUUCUUUCUAGACUUGGGAUUUCUUUUUCUCUAUUUUCCAAGCAACCUAAAUAAUCAGAAGGGUCUCGAAAUAAAGGACAGGAUCGAAAGACCCUGAAACUACUGUUCAUAUAUGUUAAGUCAAUGAGUUCAUCGGUCGAAAGGUUACCCUGAUUAUCUGGGUUAGGUUUUCCUCAGUAUGGGUUUCCUAGCUAACCUUAGGUUUUUUGACGCAAACUAUAGGUUUAUACCUAUGGUAAGUUGGAAAAACUUAUUUGAGCCUAUCAGGAUCAACAUUUGGGUUGGAUAAGGGUCCUAGCAUUACAUGAGUUUUCCCAAAAAUAGAAAUAGGAAUUAAUACUUAUGAUUGAAAAAUCCUCCUCUGUUCUUCAGUAAAAGGUUCUGGAACAUACUGUUGGUUACUGUUAGAUACCCAAAAGUGCUUAUCUGAGCCAUCAAUUAAGGGUAUCUUUCACUCUAUUUCCUUGCUAGAAUUGUCAAAACCACAUUUGUUUUACAUGAAAUGCAUUACAUUGAUAAACAAGCUUGGUGCCUUUGAUUUGUGUGUUAUUGUGCAGGAAAAAGGCAUGAACUAAUUGAAAAUGAAGACACAAGAAAAGUGGCAAAGGAACCAAUGAAUACAAGCAUUUCAUCAGCCAGCUCGCUAGGCGAGGGCUGUGGCGAAGCACUGCUUCGCUAGGCGAAUUCCAAGCGAAAAGCUCCAGUAAAUUGUCAAUAAAUUCGCCAGGCGAGCUCCUAGCGAAGGUGGUAGCGAGUUCGUUCAGUUUUGGUGAAAAGCGCAGCCAGCACUCACUCGCUAGGCGAAGCUCAAGCGAAUCCCCAGCGAGCAUUCCAGUAGCAAAACCUCUCAACCUCGCUGGGGCGAAGGUUGAAGCGUGUCCUUCGCUAGGCGAAGGUAUGUUCGCUAGGCGAACAUGACAGUUCAGCAGACCCUGUUUCUCUGGGCGCAGGUGCCUUAUGUGCCCAUAUUAGACCCUCGCUAGGCGAGCCAUUCUGCUCGCCUAGCGAGCAUGACAGCCCAGNNNNNNNNNNNNNNNNNNNNNNNNNNNNNNNNNNNNNNNNNNNNNNNNNNNNNNNNNNNNNNNNNNNNNNNNNNNNNNNNNNNNNNNNNNNNNNNNNNNNNNNNNNNNNNNNNNNNNNNNNNNNNNNNNNNNNNNNNNNNNNNNNNNNNNNNNNNNNNNNNNNNNNNNNNNNNNNNNNNNNNNNNNNNNNNNNNNNNNNNNNNNNNNNNNNNNNNNNNNNNNNNNNNNNNNNNNNNNNNNNNNNNNNNNNNNNNNNNNNNNNNNNNNNNNNNNNNNNNNNNNNNNNNNNNNNNNNNNNNNNNNNNNNNNNNNNNNNNNNNNNNNNNNNNNNNNNNNNNNNNNNNNNNNNNNNNNNNNNNNNNNNNNNNNNNNNNNNNNNNNNNNNNNNNNNNNNNNNNNNNNNNNNNNNNNNNNNNNNNNNNNNNNNNNNNNNNNNNNNNNNNNNNNNNNNNNNNNNNNNNNNNNNNNNNNNNNNNNNNNNNNNNNNNNNNNNNNNNNNNNNNNNNNNNNNNNNNNNNNNNNNNNNNNNNNNNNNNNNNNNNNNNNNNNNNNNNNNNNNNNNNNNNNNNNNNNNNNNNNNNNNNNNNNNNNNNNNNNNNNNNNNNNNNNNNNNNNNNNNNNNNNNNNNNNNNNNNNNNNNNNNNNNNNNNNNNNNNNNNNNNNNNNNNNNNNNNNNNNNNNNNNNNNNNNNNNNNNNNNNNNNNNNNNNNNNNNNNNNNNNNNNNNNNNNNNNNNNNNNNNNNNNNNNNNNNNNNNNNNNNNNNNNNNNNNNNNNNNNNNNNNNNNNNNNNNNNNNNNNNNNNNNNNNNNNNNNNNNNNNNNNNNNNNNNNNNNNNNNNNNNNNNNNNNNNNNNNNNNNNNNNNNNNNNNNNNNNNNNNNNNNNNNNNNNNNNNNNNNNNNNNNNNNNNNNNNNNNNNNNNNNNNNNNNNNNNNNNNNNNNNNNNNNNNNNNNNNNNNNNNNNNNNNNNNNNNNNNNNNNNNNNNNNNNNNNNNNNNNNNNNNNNNNNNNNNNNNNNNNNNNNNNNNNNNNNNNNNNNNNNNNNNNNNNNNNNNNNNNNNNNNNNNNNNNNNNNNNNNNNNNNNNNNNNNNNNNNNNNNNNNNNNNNNNNNNNNNNNNNNNNNNNNNNNNNNNNNNNNNNNNNNNNNNNNNNNNNNNNNNNNNNNNNNNNNNNNNNNNNNNNNNNNNNNNNNNNNNNNNNNNNNNNNNNNNNNNNNNNNNNNNNNNNNNNNNNNNNNNNNNNNNNNNNNNNNNNNNNNNNNNNNNNNNNNNNNNNNNNNNNNNNNNNNNNNNNNNNNNNNNNNNNNNNNNNNNNNNNNNNNNNNNNNNNNNNNNNNNNNNNNNNNNNNNNNNNNNNNNNNNNNNNNNNNNNNNNNNNNNNNNNNNNNNNNNNNNNNNNNNNNNNNNNNNNNNNNNNNNNNNNNNNNNNNNNNNNNNNNNNNNNNNNNNNNNNNNNNNNNNNNNNNNNNNNNNNNNNNNNNNNNNNNNNNNNNNNNNNNNNNNNNNNNNNNNNNNNNNNNNNNNNNNNNNNNNNNNNNNNNNNNNNNNNNNNNNNNNNNNNNNNNNNNNNNNNNNNNNNNNNNNNNNNNNNNNNNNNNNNNNNNNNNNNNNNNNNNNNNNNNNNNNNNNNNNNNNNNNNNNNNNNNNNNNNNNNNNNNNNNNNNNNNNNNNNNNNNNNNNNNNNNNNNNNNNNNNNNNNNNNNNNNNNNNNNNNNNNNNNNNNNNNNNNNNNNNNNNNNNNNNNNNNNNNNNNNNNNNNNNNNNNNNNNNNNNNNNNNNNNNNNNNNNNNNNNNNNNNNNNNNNNNNNNNNNNNNNNNNNNNNNNNNNNNNNNNNNNNNNNNNNNNNNNNNNNNNNNNNNNNNNNNNNNNNNNNNNNNNNNNNNNNNNNNNNNNNNNNNNNNNNNNNNNNNNNNNNNNNNNNNNNNNNNNNNNNNNNNNNNNNNNNNNNNNNNNNNNNNNNNNNNNNNNNNNNNNNNNNNNNNNNNNNNNNNNGGCAGUGCUGCUUCAGGAAGUACCCGGGCUUCUGAUGGUCCUGGUACUUCUACUCCUAGACUAGAUCCAUACGUCCAAGCUGUGUGCAAUUACAGUUUGGAAUGGAUGGCGGCAUCCCAGAGAGCUAUGAUUGAUAUGCACGACUCUAUGCAGCGGUUACAGCUGCAAGGAAGUGGUGCCCAUGCUUUGAUGACGCGUGAGCAGUUUCUGCUUCACGCCAAUUGGCCUGUGGACACGCCAGUGUAUAGUGAGGGGGUGGACGCUGAUGCUGAUGAUGAUGAUGAUGUUGAUGAUGAGGCUACCGGUUCUGAUGCCGGUAGCGAGGAGGAGUCCUGAGCCCUUAGAGGGUUAAGUUUUUGUACUUUUCAGUUUUUUUUUUUUAUGUUAUUUUUAUUUUUGUAUUUUCGGAUUAUGUAUUUUUACUUUGGUGUUGUACUAUUGGGGUGUUUUGUCCCCCAUGAACAAAUUUAUAUUUUCAGUUAAUGAUAAUUAUUUAUGUUUUUAAUUUUGUGUGUGUAAUAAAUUUUUGGUUGAUUGAGUGGCAAACCCUUCUAGAUUGGUUUCUCCUCAAGAAGUACCCAAUGAAGGUGCAUCCGAGCUUGGAUGGCAAUGAUAAGAAUAAACAAGUGAAUGAAGCUAAGGUACAUGGUUACCUUCGGCUAGAAUUUUAGAAUGCAUUAGGAACUUUACUCUUUUUGGUAAAUUGAAUAUUGUCUUUUUGCAACAUAAUUGAAUGAAUGUUUCAUCUAGAACUUAAAACCACAAAUUGUGAGGAAACCUCCAUUGUACACUUAAAUGCUGGAUUCUAAUAAGUUUUGUUGAUUCAUGUGAUUCAUGCUUUGUCUUUUAUUAUUGUGAAAUUGUGGAAGCAAUUAGAAAUGAUCAAGGCACUUGUUUUCUUUCGAGCACAACUACAUCCAAAAACAACUUACCUGUGAGCAGAGAGAGUAUUUGUUAACCCCUUUGAGCCUAAACAGUUGAAUCUCGGCUUGAAAUAAAGCGAGAUCUCAAAAAUUUUUUUUUUACAACCCGGAAAAUCUUGAUUAUUGUUCUUUUGCCGUAAAAAGUUAAGAGCAUUCACUUAGGGUGUGGAAGAAAUAAGUUGGGGAGAACGAAAAAGAAUUGGUAAGUACCACAACUCUUGAAAAAGAAAAGAAAAACCGAGCAAGCAUAGAAAAAUAUAUGUAUAGAAAAUAUAGAAAAGAAACAUCUGUUUUGUAUAUUUGAUGUGAAAGAAAAGAACAAAAAUAGAAAAAAUGAAAAUGAAUGCUUGCUUGGAAGAAAAAUAGUGAAAAAUAAAAAUUGAGUUGUGAAAUAUGUGUUGUGAAGGUUUCAAAUAAGAAACAAAUGAAACAAAGUCGAGUAGUGUGAAUAAUACUGUGAAUGUCUCUUUUGCAUCGGCACUUUCGUUUCAAUGGCCUUAGAAAUGACCCUUGUUUGUUAACCUAACCAAGCUUCAACCGAAAAGCCCUUAGUGAUCUUUAUGCUUCCACAGUACCAUUUUUAAUUGUUAGACAUUGUAUGAAUCUAUUUGAUUUCUUCAUUAUUUGUUAGAGAGUGAGAUUAGUCCCGCGGUUGCAAACGCGCAAAAUCUUCAUUCCUUAUUCGAAGAGGAGAGAUAGGAUGAUUCAUUCAGAAUAGUAUUGUUGUAGAUAGAUAAAUAUUUUGCAUUGCUAUUUAAGUUUUAGUUCUUAUGUAUUAUUUUAUUCGAACCGUUGGGAACUUGUAUUUGCUGAUUUCGCUUGUGUUUGAGCCGUUUAUCCAACUUCGGAGAAACCAGUUUCUUAAAGCAAAUCCUCUUGUCCUUCAAGAGGCAUACUUUGCUUGAGGACAAGCAAGAAUCUAGUUGGGGAGAGUUGUUAGAUGCCCAAAAGUGCUUAUUUGAGCUAUCAUAUGUGGGCAUCUUUCACUCUUUUUCCUUGCUAAAAUUGUCAAAACCACAUUUGUUUUACAUGGAAUGCAUUACAUUGAUAAACAAGCUUGGUGCCUUUGAUUUGUGUGUUAUUGUGCAGGAAAGACAUGAACUAAUUGAAAAUGAAGACACAAGAAAAUUGGCAAAGGAACCAAAGAAUACAAGCAUUUCAUCAGCCUGCUCGCUAGGCGAGGCUGUGGCGAAGCACUGCUUCGCUAGGCGAGCUCCAGGCGAAAAGCUCCAGUAAAUUGUCAAAUUAAUUCGCCAGGCGAGCUGAAGGCGAAGGUGGUAGCGAGUUCGUUCUGUUUUGGUGAAAAGCGCAGCCAGCACUCACUCGCUAGGCGAAGCUCUAGCGAGUCCCCAGCGAGCAUUCCAGUAGCAAAACCUCUCAACCUCGCUGGGGCGAAGGUUGAAGCGUGUCCUUCGCUAGGCGAAGGUAUGUUCGCUAGGCGAACAUGACAGUUCAGCAGGCCCUGUUUUCUCUGGGCGCAGGGGCUUUUUGUGCUCAUAUUUGACCUUCGCUAGGCGAGCCAUUCUGCUCGCCUAGCGAACAUGACAGUUCUGCACUUGUCUAUAAGUAGCAGGUGCCACUUUUGGGCACCAUACCUCAUUUUUACCAACUUUUCCAUUUUUUGUACUUUCUUCUAGAUAUUUUACAGCAUUGUUUUGUGGGAGCUUUUAUGCCCUAUUUUCAUUUCUCUUCAUCUAGCAACCAUCUUCCACAAAAAGAAGGUGGAUUCCCAUCCAACUUCGAUUAUCCGACUUGGAUGUUGAUCAACCUUCUUUCCUAACUUGCCGACCAAGCUACCAUGAAAAUGAGUAGCUAAGUCAUCCAUUUGUCAAGGUUAGAUGUAGGUGAUUACUAGCUUUGUGUGUAAAUGUAAGGAUCCUCAUAUGUAAACUCUUUAAUGGUAAAUAUAUGAUGAAAACUUUGUUUCUAUUUAAAACUCUUUGUGUUGGUUUAUGAUCGAGAGAUGUUUACCGACUCUUGACCUAGGUUUUCAUCCAAACUUGUUUGUUAGCUAGAGAUAGUAAUGAAUGAUUUUGUUCACCAUAAGGUUGAACCAAAAAGUUGUCAUUUUGAUAGAUUGUGUUCGAGAGAAACAAUGGAUCAAAAUGGCAAAACUCACAAUGUGUGUUCGAGAGAAACAUAUUGAGAGGACUUUGUGAAAUGAUUUAUCAUCUAAAGGAGUUUAUAAGAUUGUUGACCGAGCAAAUACAUGCAAAGCGAUCAUUGAAACCUAACUUUGGCAAUAUUUCUCAUUUAUCCAAACCAAAACUUUUACCGCAAUUUAUUACUUUUUAUGCAAGAUAACGUGACAACCAAUCAAAACCCUAUUGUUACUUGAGCUAGAAUUAAUACAACCAUCGAACGACGGUGAUAUCUUACAAUCCCUGUGGAUACGAUAACAAAAACCCGACACGAAAUAUACUUUCAACAGUUACCCACAAUAUUUGGUCCCGAAAUCCUAUCAGCAAGAGGAAGACCCCGAGAUUUUCUAGAAUCUUUGGUGUUUUUGUUGGAUUCCUUGGUGGUAUUUGUAGAUGAUACCAUUGUUGAAAGGAAGAAAUGAACUGGGUUUUUGGGUUUGAGGAAGAUGAAUAGUAGAAGAAACAGUUAUUUGAGAAAGCUCAGAAUGUGAAAAAUUUUAAAAAAAUGUUAAGUAUGUCUAUUUAUAAGCUGCGGAAGUGGAAGAAAUUUUGGUUAAGCAUUAAUGGGAAAAAGAAAGUGGGGCACAUGUCAGUAGAAAUGGCCAUGAUAAACGGUAGCAGUUAAAGGCUAAACACAAUUUCCUAGGGGCUAGGAAACAUGAUGAUUACCUAAAGAUCCUCACGUGAAUUUUAAGGAGACGUUUUGCUAAAGUUGUCAUCAUGACUAUGACAUCAUAACAAAUGAAUAGUUUUGUGAUGUCGAAUUAGAUUGUCCAAACAAAAAAUACCUUUUUUCUCCGGUAUAUCGAAAAAGGCAUUUUUGGGGGGGCAAUUCGUUAGGUGGGAAUUUCGACAUCAGGCUGGAGAUGAUAAACUAAGAAGAGAGAAUACUUUUUGAAGAUAUCUAUGAUUUCGACAGAAAGAAAAUAUGGUGUGAGGAAGUGUCAAAGUCUGCCUUCUAUAAGGGAGAACUGAUGUGAGACUUAGGAAUAUUCCUGAGUUUAGAAUAUUACUUCGACAGAAGAGUUUGUUCGACAUAUAUUUAAAUUUGAAUGAAAGAAGGAUAAUCGUAUUUCAUUCUUAUCCAAUUUUGAAGAAAAGAUGCGUGGAGUGUUGUCCUGAAUCGCAGACAUGUCGAGUGUAACGUGUCAGUGCCUAGGAGAAGAGCCAUUGGUGACAGUUAUUUCGAUUUAGUAUAUAUAGGUGUCUUAGUGUUAGGAUUAAGGGUGUUCAAAUUGAUGUACAAUCAAUCAUAUUUACUUAAAGUAUCCAGCAUGUUGAGAAACAAGUACAAUUGAGAACGUACAGUUGAUAACACCACCAUCUUUAUAUCAAUCAAAGUUUAUUUAUACUUUUUGUCCAGAGAUUAUCCUUUAUUACAAGUCAUUUAACAAGCAUUAUUUUACACUUUCCUUACAUUUCUUCAAUCUAUCCUUUUGAAAACGCUUUAAGAAAACAUUCCUUAUUCAAGAAUACUGUCGAAGUGUUCAUCUUCUUUUAUAUAAAAUUUUAAAAUAAUAGCACAUGUCCUAGGAUCAAUCUGGUCGAUCAUGUGAGUAACCAAAGUGUAUUUAAUUUGGAAGACCAACGGUUGUUUACCAAUUUUCAUGGUAAACAGUAAUGUAACCGUCAAGUACAACCCACUAAAAAGGAGAUGACACCCCACGAUACUCCUCUGGUACCAAAUGACUCUUAAAAUCAUCUAGUAUCUGUAAGACCCCAAUUUUGGCCCUAAGAUCCCUCAUGGCCCAUAUCAUAUCAUAUCAUGGCCUCAAGGAUCAUUGCAUACCCUAGUUCCCCUCCUAGUGGGUGGGUCACCUUGUGAGUGUGGUUCUUGAUCACCAAGCAUGCUUUGCAUUUGUAUAUCUUUGCUUUUCAUAUGUUUACUAACCAAAAAGUACAAAAAUAUUGUCAUCUAACCAUGUUACUUGCAGUUGAAGCAAUCACCAGUUAAACAGUCAAACCAGCCAUUGAGCAGUGGAUGGUGGCCAUUCUUGAAGAAUUUGGGCACCAUGAUCAAUAAUCAAGAGUUCAUAUAUGUUGUGAUAUCAUUUGGAAUCAAGUUCUCAAGGGAUUAGGGUUUGGAAUUCAUCAGAACAUGGCUCAGUUAUCCAAAACCCUAGAAAAGUCAAACUUGGUCAACUUUAAAAACGCGAAAAAAAGUUAAAGCACAUGCAGACGACCAAACACGCAAGUUUCCCUGGCACCACAAGUGUUAAGGGUGUGACUGAAACUUCGUUCUUCCUCAAAGAAAUGUCGACAAAAAAAUGUGCCGCAGAAAUGGAAAUUAAUCAUAAAACAAUCAAUACAUCAUAAAACAUCAUAAUCAUUAAAUCAAACUACAAAGAAGAAUCAAACAAAAACAAUUUUUGAACAUAAUCAUUUUAAAGUUGAUUUCUCUCAGCACAACAAAAAACGCCGUCAAAGCUUAAUGCAACCAGUAACAAAGAUCUACAAGAAGGCUGGCAUCGUAGUGAAUAGAGAUUUGAUACUACCAAAUCUGCCAAGGCAAGUCGAUUCAUGCUUUUUUGCUACAAAUGCUCAAAACAGCUGCUCCGAUGAAGGUCCUAGAGGUGAAAGAGGGGAGUCUUGGCUCGAGAACCUGCUUUAUAGCUUGCAACCAUGAGCUGCCAUGAAUGAGUUCUUCAAUGAACAGUGGGAAACUUUGAUUACACAAGUUGAAGAAAUGGAGUGGAAAAUGCUCCAAAUAGCAAUGAGAUGAUGGACAGCAAGCCAGAUCCUCGGGUUCUUUGGAAGUUGUAGCAGAAUUUAAGAUGAGAUCAUUGAGAGAGUUUUUUGAGAGAAGAGUUAUCUGUCUGUAGAUGUGGCUGGCUGCUAGGGUUGUUGGACGAAAACAUGCUAUUAUAUUGUGUUUAGAAGCUGAAGGCAUUCAUUAGUUUAAGUUGUUAAUCCAAAAUGUUGGUUAAAUGACAUGUUUGCCAAAAUGCUAAAAGACCACUAAGGCGGUGCAGAGGGGGUAUGAGGCUGCCACGGAAAUGGGAGCUUCAAACUGGCUUCAAAUAAACAUUUCAAAAACAGUUCCCAUUGGCCAAAAUGGAGGUAAAAUUGGUUAUUGGAAAAGUCAAAUUAACACCUCAUUUGAAAUUUAAUUAAAGCAGCUGUCAAAAGGCCAUUUUGAAUGUGAAGUUUUUGGAUCGAAUAUAAUGACAUUUUUGAAAGGGGGAUAUCAAAUUGUGACUUUGGUAGAAAAGACCCAACCAUUUUGGGCCAACAUCGGUUUGAGAAGAUAUGGGGCCUUUGAAGUUCCACAAAUUUUUGAGAUUGAAUUGGUCAUAACUUUGCCUAAACAACUGGGGAAUUUGAGUUCCUUGGACCUUUUGGAAAUGGAAACAAGAUUUUUUCAACCUUUUGCAAUGUUUGGGCAAAUAAUCAUUUUAAGCUUGUAUCUUAUGAUGUAAAGUUUAAGAUCCAAAAGAAUCUCCCAUUUGGGCAAAUUUGAAUUACGGUCAAGUUUCUAAUUUGGGGAAAAUUUCUUCGAUCAUGCACCCUUCAUAUUUUAUUAGUGUGGACUCUUCGAACAUGUAUGUAUGAACGUCUUACAAAAAUAUGACUGAGACCUCCAGACCAAAUCUCACACACCAAAUCCACUGACCCUCCCCAACACACGUUCGCACCGUUGACAAGUUUGGACACAUUUUCUAAGGUUUUGGAUAACUGAGCAUGUUCUACUGAAUCCACCAAACUCGCUACACCGAUUGAAAAACUCUCCGCAAUCCAAAUGAUAUCACAACAAUAUGAAACUCACAAGCUUUCGAUCAUACAAGGUGCAACACAAACUUCGUUCAAGAAGCCAACAUAUCCACUGUCAAAGCUGGCUGGUUGACUGUUUAUAGAACAACCCCCCCCCCCACACGAGCAGCCUGGUGGCUCAACUGGAAGUACAUGUUAGUGCCAAUAAUUUUGUAUCUUUUUGGAUUAGUAACAUGAAAAGCAAAGAUUAUUCAUGCAAAGCAUGCUGGUGAUCAAGAAAACUCACAAGGUGCCCCACAGCAGGGAUCAGGUAUCAUGAACUUGAGGCAUGAUCAUAGAUAUGCGGCCCGAGGGAUCUUAGGGCCGUAAAAUUGGUCUUACAAUCCUAUACAUUCUACGCCGAGAAGUGAAGUUUAGAAAUUUAUCUCGACCGGUAGACUGGCUUAAAUAACAGUAAGAGACAAUUGGUCCUAAAGCUCAUCGAUCGCAUGUGGUGCAUGCAAGACACGAACUCUGUGGGGAAUUGCUUCAUCUACAGGAAGAAAACGAUCCAUCGGAGUAAUACACCCCACGGAACAUCAAACUCCUUCAAGACCUAGUGGGAUAUAAGAGACAAGAAAUGCGUGAAACGCCGACCUAGUUAGGGAACAGAAACAGACUGGAACUCACUUGGGAGUGAAGGCUCACACGCGGGGAAAGAACCAAAGAAAAUAAAUCAUUGGAAAGACAACAAGCUCGAACUCCUGGAGAGAAGCAACAAGAAGCUUCACUGAGACUACAACAUGAGGUACCGGAAAAGGGCCAAAUCAGGAAGAAGAGUAUCUAAACCCGGUAUAAAGGUAGCGAUAUCAAUCAACACAUUCUGAGAAGAGGAAAGGUACUAAUAACUCAGAAUCUGACCCACAACGGGACCGAGGUAAUAAUAUUGGGAGCAGCAAGAAGGAACACACGGAUACCGGUUGUAGUCUUAAGGUCCCAGCCAAAGAGUGAAUGGGGUUGUUCCAACCUCAUCAUCCUAAUAGAGCGAAAGAAACUGUUUAUCAGGAUGGAUAUUGUUCGAAAGAUAGGCAAAUUAUCAGCUUGGAGAACAACAAGUGUUGCAACAGAGUGCAUGAGAGUUAUUAUCUAACCGUCAAAGAGAUAAUUACUCGCUGGAAAGUUAUCCUAAGGUUGUAGGUUUUUUCAGGCUAGAUCCGAAAUCGGAUUUUGUGGUUCAGACACCUCAUCACCCUGAAGAAGAGUAGAACCGCAACUUUGAAUAGGAUGGAUGUUCGUUCCAUCAAGGAAUACGAACCUGACUCGCGAGAAACAGAUCAAGACUUGACCAAGAGCGAACGCGAAUAUUUCUUACCGCAAGAAUGAUAGUGAACUCAAAAAGGAAAUAUCGACGGGUGUAGGUUUGUAUAGAUACACGGAGACGUAAUUGUUGUUGUUCCCACACCAUCACCUGAAGAAAGCUAGAGCCAGACCUUGUUUAGGAUGGUAUUCAAUUCCCAGGAUAUGAAUUACAAGGAUACACCGUGUGUUGUUGCAGAAAAUCCGUGAAUUGCGGGUGUUUUCAAAACACUCAGUUAUCCUGAAGAACUAGAUUAGCAGACUAUUUUAUAGGAUGAAUCAUCGAUUCCGCAAGGAAUUACUGAAUCUACUGCGACCCGGAGGACACAAAGCCAUAAGAGUGCAGAGAUCUAUAAGUCCAUUACAUCCGGCUAAGACUGCCGUAGGUGAGACUAUCGCAUGAGAUAAUAUUAUCUAUUACCUGUCGGGUAACUCACCGCUAGAUAAUAACUCUGCAUGGAAGAAACACCCAGAUAUGCUCUAACUUCGGGUAUACAUAAUAGGUGAUCUGGCNNNNNNNNNNNNNNNNNNNNNNNNNCUGUAAGAUGGAUGGCUGGCUUGCUAGGGUUGUUUGGGACAGGAAAACAUGCUAUUAUAUUGUUGUUUAGGAAGCUGAAGGCAUUCAUUAGUUAAGUUGUUAAUCCAAAAUUGGUUAAAUGACUGUUGCCAAAAUUUGCUAAAGAGACGCACUAAGGCGUUGCAAGAAGGGGGUAUGAGGUCCACGAAAUGGGCUUUCAACUGCUCAAAUAACAUUCAAAAACAGGUCCCAAAUUGGGCCAAAAUGAGGUUAAAAAUUGGUGUUAUUUGGAAAAGUUCAAAUUAACCACCUCACUUGAAAUUUAUUAAAAGCAGGCGUUCAAAAGGCCAUUUUGAUGGUGAAGUUUUUGGAUCGAAUGAUAAUGAAUUUUUUGAAAGGGGUAUCAAAUUGUGACUUGGUAGAAAAAGACCCCAACCCAAUUUGGGCCAACAUGGUUGAGAAGAUAGGGGACGUUUGAAGUUCCAACAAUUUUGAGAAUUGAAUUGGUCAUAAUUGCCCUAACAUUACAUGGGAAUUGAGAGUUCUUGGACAUUUUGAAAUGGAGAAACAAGAUUUUUCCAACUUUGUCAAUGGUUGGGCAACAUAAUCCAUUUAAGCUUGUAUCAUAAUGAUGUAAGUUUAAGAUCCAAAGACUCCUCCCAUUUGUGGCAAAUUUGAAUUACAGGUCAAAGUUCUAUUUGGGAAAAAUUUCUUGUCAUACUUAUAUUUUUUAGUGUGGACUGCUUGACAUGUUAGUAUGAAGCGUACUUAGGCAUAAAUAUGAGAGACCUCUCAGACCAAAUCUCCACACCAAAAUUCAACUGGAUUUAAAUCCAUAGUUUGUAAUUGGUGUAAUAUUUACAAGUUUGCCACCGGUCAACCCUUUGACCCAUUAAACCCAUGUCAUUUUCAUUUUUUAUUUCAAUUUGAUGCAACAACUUUCAAAAAUCAUAUCAGCUUCAUUUCAAAUUCAAAUUCCAUGGGAAUUUUUGCAUUAUGCUCUGCUUGAUGUCUAGUAUUUUAUCAUGAUUUUUUGCUGAUUUUUUGGAUGGUCGAAUUUUUAAUGGUAUUAGGGUUUUGUUCAUGUGUCAUUAUUUUGUACCCUUUGCCAAAUCAUUUAUGAAAUAGUCAUGCAUUAUCCAAUGGCCCUGAAUUUUUUGUGUGCAUAAACUAGACUCAUUCAUGGUGAUUUUGAUAUAGAGUUUGUGAAUUUAUCUUAUCUGGUCAUUGAGUUAUGAAUUUUUGAUUUAGGGUGUGACAAUUUGUGUCACACCCUUGAUGUGCAAUUUCAUGAUUUUUGAUACUAUGCUUCCUGACCUCCAAUUGAUGUGAAUUUUUGCAUGAUUGUACUCUUAUAUGUCUAGUUUACAUGUGAAUUUUCUUGAAAUUAUUUGUGGCAUUUCCAAAUUGUUUGAGAUUUUCUCCCCUGUUUGACCAAAAUGUUGACUUGUGUGAUACAUGUUGCCAUUUCCUUUGUGAAAUUCUCAUACUUUAUUGGAUGAACAUGAAAUUUUACAUGUGAUUACUAGACAUCUUAAGCUUUGUCAUGGUGUUGAUCCCAUUCAUUUAUCAUUUGUUAUCACUGACUUAUGAAUUUUUGAAGUUGAUGUAUGUUUGGUUGACUUCUUUGAGCAUGCUUAAACUUGCUUUGACUUUCUGAUUUUCAUUGACUAUCUUCCCAUGAUCCAAAUGAGCUGAAAUUUUAUAUGCAUGUCAUGUUAUGGAUUAUGAUCGAGCAUGAAUUAUUUGAUGAUUUUUGGAAUUGAUUAUGAUUGGUUUUGAGCUAAGUCUUGCUGUUGACCAUUUGCCAUGCUUUGACUUCCUUUGCUUAUGAAAUCAUGAUGAUGAAUGAUAUGAAUGUGGGACUAAUUGAGUUUGCUUCUUAAAUGUUUGAACUUGAUUUUGGUUGACUAUCCCUUGCUGUUUUGACUUUCUCAUCUCAUUUUGACCCUAGGCUUGUCCUGGUGGUCUUGUUGCUUAUGUUUGAGUUCAUGGUUUCAGGUUAAGCAACAAAUGCUCCAAAGAGAUCAUACAAAUUUGAUUGAGCUUGAUUGUUUAUCAUGAGCUAACCUCUUUGUUUUGUAGGUAGCUUGACUCAUAUGAUUUGAGUCUUGUGCUUUGCACAUUCAUCUGAUUAUGUUGACUGUUAAUUCUAUUCUCAUUUUGCUUUGACUUUUGAAUGGUGUACUGAUUCUGUUUGACUAUUUCAGGUACCAUUAGUUGCUUAGUUCUUUGAACUUGCUUUGAUUUGCUUAAAUAGCAAUUUGCAUUGAGGUAUAAUUCCUUAUUCUUCAUGUAGUCUGGAAGACCUGGCCUGUUACUUGGCCAGGCAACUGUCUGAAGUCCUCCUUAAGAGGCAAUGCUUGUGUGUGUUUACAUUUGUCCCAAGCAGGAAAAGUCCUUCAAAUAAGGCAAUUGGUAGAUCAAAGAGAUAAGCAACCUAUCUCCUACUAUUCUGUGAGUCUUCUCCUUGCUCCCAUUACAUGGUUGUAGCAUUGAGAUCCAAACCCAAGAUCUAUCGAGUCUAUAAUCUGUGGAAAGAGUUCCUACUUUCUGAACUCCCACACCUUCUGAUAUUCAAAUGCUCUCCCUGGCCAGGGAUAAGAGCAAUGAGGCACACCCCUCAUAUCUUUUCAUCUGCUUCACCUUAGCCCCUCAAUGGCAAGGUUAAGAGCACCAUUAACCCUAUUCCAGUUGGCUUCAAUGCCUAACCCUUUGUGUGAGCCUGAUUGUUUGGUUAUAGUGUGUGCUGAAUGACUUCAUUGAUUGAUUGCUUAUCUCAUAUGCACAUGUCUGCUUGCAUGCUUUGUGCAUUUAUCAUCAUUAAUUGCUCAUUAGUGCAUGAUCAUUUCAUUUGUCUUUGUGACAUAUCUUUGUUGUUUGCCCAUUGAGGACAAUUGUAAGACCAUUCAUUGGCCAUUGUUCCUAUGAUAUGGAAGUGAGUAUAAGACCAUUUCAUUGGCCACUCAUCUUCUCUUUGCUUGAUGCAUUUGUUUGUUGUAUGUGAGGAUGCAAUUGUAAGUCCCUGUAAGUUGGCAUUUGUUUUCCUAUGAUCAUAUGUUGGAGGUUAGAGUAAGCCCAGAUAGAUUGGCAUCUGACAUCCAUGUGUUUGCUUUGUUGUUGGAGAUUGGUAUAAGUCCAGAUAGAUUGGCAUCCGGUAUCCACUUUUUAUUUCUUUGUUGAGGAGAUUGGUAUAAGUCCAUAGAGUGGCCUCUGAUAUCCAGUUUUGUUUUAGGAGAUUGGUAUAAGUCCAGUGAUUGGCAUCCGGUAUCCGCUUUUGUUGACUUUCUUCUUUUGCUUUGCUUGUUUGUUAUUGCUCAUUGCCUAUUCCAAAGGACACACUUGAGUCAUCUUCUAUAUGAUUUCAAGAGGUGAACCUUCUAGGAAGUUUUACACUCCAUCUUCAUCCAUUCAUCCAUUUUGUCCUAAACCUUUUCACACAUUACUUUCAAAACUUGAGAUAAAUAUUGUGCAAACAUCUUCAUGCUUUUAAAUUAAAAACCUGGACCCCAAGUCCUUGACUUUUUCAAACUCCAUUUCAUAAUACUUCUUUUGAAUCAAUCUUAAUCAUACUUUGACCCUCCUUUUGUGAAUAAUCAUAAUCAAUUAACUUCACCCAUUCAAUUGUUUUGUGGCUUUGUCCAUUCUUGUUAAGUUUUCAUACAUUAGCCAUAGGUUUGAUUUAUCCUAGUUGGUUGAUGUUAAUCUCACCUAUUUGUCCUUAGUUGAUUGAAUUGUAAGUCUUCCUUGCUUAUUAUAGGGUUAACCCCUCACUAGCAAGUUGAAGCUUUUCUCACAUGGUGGACUUGUUGUUUGUAUAAGGUUGAGUUUUCUCCCGUGGAUAACGUAAGACCUUAGGGCUUGUGUUUAAAAUUGAAUCCACUAACUUUUGGAAAUCUUUUAGCCGAACUACGGCGUUUUGAUCCUUACCUUUGAUGGAAGGUACGUAGGCAACGGGUUCAUCCGUUCGAACACAAAAAUAAUAAAAAUUGUAUAUUCUUUUCUCAUCAUCCCAAUCAUGUUUGCACAAUAAAUAUUUCAUAACAAAUAACAAUUUUAUACAACAAGUGUGAAAAGGGCUCCCUAGGAGUACCUAGGACGUAGUGGGUGCCUAACACCUUCCCAUUGCGUAAUUUACCCCUUACCCAGACUCUCUGAUCUUUUUAUUAGUUUUCUACGUGUAAAACUUCUUAGGCUUUUGUUCGCUUUUUAGCCAGUCCUUUGGAUAAAUAAAAGUGCGGUGGCGACUCGAAAAUCUUUGUAUACCUUGCUUAUGGUUUAACCAAUAAAUCAUAUAGCGACGAAUACACCGCUACAGUAUCGCAUCAAGAUCUUUGUGAUGAUGAAUGGGAGGAGCGGACUCAUAAGGGGAUCUUUGAAUACUCUACAAAUAGUCAAACCGUUGCAUUACUCGCUUGGGCAAAUAAGGAUACAUAUGAGAUGACUUACAUGUCAGCCAUCCGGAGUAUAAGGAAAUAACAUCAAACUGACGCGUCUCGCUGUGACCCUCGUAUGGGCACAAACAAACAUCAUCAUGUACAUGAUGAUUAUGAUACAUAAUUCUCCAUGUACGGGAUAAAUGUGGCAACACGUAGCUAAUCCUCAUCGUACGUAGACACAACUUCCCCCCAAUGAUGCGAGAGAAGUGAGAGAUGAUCCAUCUCUGAAAAUGAUUCAGAUACAAUAUUAAUAACAAGUAUAACAAAUGAAUUAUAAAAUAUUAGUAAUAGUAAUAGUAAAUUACCGUAAGUACCAUGCAACUCCCUGUCAUCUUCUUUGUCUUCCAAAGACCGUUCCUUAUGUGGCCUAGUAAUUUUCACUUUAUGGGAAGAUACAUAAGGUGUGAGACGUCAUCCAAGGUGAUGGUCAUCUUUCUUAUAGGAAGGUGGAAAAAUAACGUCUCAAAAAUCUACCUCUCUGCAAAAGCCGGGUGCAUGUCGUGGUUUAUGGUCAUGUACACAGUAGAACAUAAACUAGCAAGACCAGAAUAUCAGAUGACAUCAAUGAACCAAGCAAUAGUGGGUUGUGACAACUCCAAUAUCUUCCUAUUGUGGUUUACCUAUUUCAAACACAUAAGCUCAUAUAAAAAGAAAAUAUCACCAUCAGUAUAGAUUUAAUUAGUAGAAAACAUAUGUAUUGAAAAAGAAAAUAAAUAUACACCUCCUUCCCAAACAUGCCUAGCAGCAUGGUCUGUAUAAAGAUGAAGUAAGGAGGUGUCAAACGGGCCUCUUGGGUAACUCUCUAAAUGGGCAUCGACAGUGGCCUCCUUCCAGGCUUCAGGGACUAUAGGUUUUGCUGCAUCAUCUGGGAACUCAUGGCCCUGUAAAGUAGAUGCCUGAGAGAGGCGAUUGUGAGAAGCAAAACUAGAUGGUUGGGAACCACAGAGUUGUGAAUCAUCAAACGAGUUAUCAUUAAUUCAUGUCCUCGUGGUCCUGGAUGCGGCUCUCUCAUGUCGUACCGGCACGAUUUGGGACACGCGGUCGAGCCUAAUUCUUCUAGGGUUGUUUUCAACCACUGCACAUGUGUUACAAACAGACACGGAGAAAAACGACUCAGAGCAAAAUCCACAAAUUUCACAAAAUCAACCAAUUCUCAGGCCGAAUCAAAUUCGGAGAUGCAUCUCCGAAAAUAGUUAGAGCAAAUUCGGAGAUGCAUCUUUGGAUAAAUCUACGAUUCUAAGCCAUGGUAGAAGCGCCAUUGUUGCCAUAACCCUAAAAAAAUGUCAAUACAUUUUCUUGUAGGCUAUCAAUUUUGUUCACACUACUAUAUAAUGUACCUAAAACAACUAAUGUAGCUUAAAAACUAACUACAAAUCAAAACAUAAAAAAGAGAGAAUUUUGAAAUACUUACCUAAUAAAAAUGAUGAGAAGUAGAUGCUUGAAUGUAUGAUAUGCUGAAAAGGAGGAGAAAUAGCUCAAAUGGUAGAAGUUUUCUUGGGAGAGAAGUUUGAAUGGGACAAAGAGCUCAAAAGCUUGAGAGAAUGAGAUUUUUUUUAGAAAAUGAAGAAGGAUGAAGAGGGAAGGUCUGACACGAGGAUAUGAAACAAAAUCGUCAAGAGAUGCAUCUCCGGACCACCCACUAAUAUUUGAAUAAAUGGUAUUUAUGGAGAUGCAUCUUUGAACUCACCUUUUACGCAUACAGAGAUGCAUCUCCGAAUUAAAUUUUUGCAUAAUAGGGCGCCUCUUCAAUUUAAUAUGAGGAAUGUCUUAAAAAGGUGUGUCCGGAUUCACGGUGGUGGUUGGGGAAAACAUAUAAGGGUGGAAAGAGAAACCAUUUUUUCCGACACUCUAACGAUUAUCCCUCCACUCUACAAUUUACAAGAGUUCACCAUUAUAUCAUUGUUUAAAUAGUUAAACUUCAAAAUAUUUUUAUUUAUUUGUUCUCAUUUGUCUUUCAACUCAUUUGGUCCACAAAAGAGAGUUGAGAGAGUUUGAGGCAAUUAUAAGUAUUGAAACUAAGAUAAUCUGGUCCAUAGAAAUUCUUGAAAGUCAUCAAAGUAAGUAAUCAGAUCCAUUUAAAUUUGUAUGAUCUUUACCAGACAAUUUGAUGUUGAGUCAUCCGAUUCACAUUGCCCAUCACCAGAAGUCUUGAUGGUGAGUCAUUCGGCCCACAUUGUUCUUCCCUGGAAGUUUGAUGGUCUGAGAUUUUCAGUCCACAUUGUUCUUCACCGAAAGUCUUCAUUAGGAGUGUCAAAUGAGCAUGUUCGGUCCAUUUAGACUUGCCAUGCAAAAGUCCGCUAAAAAACAUAGUGGGACAAACAUAGUUAGGGGUGCAAAUAAUUUUUUUAAUCUGUCCCACAAAAAUAUGAGGGCGGGGCAGAGAGGGUUUGUGGGCAUUACAUAUUUUUAGCCAAAAUUUUGGCAAAUUUUAUGUUAAUGCCCACAACCGUAAAAAAAAGUGUGGGGAGGGGCAUAUAUAUUAGAGAGUGUGAGCUUAAAAUCUUGGUCCGCCUGCAAAAAGUACAGGCAAAUGGGCAUGUCCGGCGGCACGAUCCCGUCUUUCGAUAUGUUAAUUUUACUAUCAAAUAUCUAGAUGUUAAGUCAUCUGGACACAUUGUUCUUCAUCGAAAGUCUUGACGGUGAAACUUCAGCUCUGUUUUUUUUUUCAAAAUUGUUUAUAAAUAUGUUUUAAUAAUAUUUUUUUGACUAGUGACGUAUAUGAGAGGAUGCGACAAUAGGAAGAGAAGAUAGUGUAUCUUGUAUAGUUAAAGAAACCAUGAUGAGCACUAUUUAUGAAAAUACAUAGAUAGAAGGUAGUGUUAAAAUCAUUUUUAAUCUGACUUAAUUAUGUUGUUCAAUCAAUGAGUCAAUGAUUCAAUCAAUAAAUUAAUGAUCCAUCAUUUUUAUUGAUUUGAUAAUAAAAUAUUGAUUUUGAUAUUUCUAAAACGAAGGAAACUAAAAGAAGUAGAAUUAAACGGAAUGUAAAGAAGUAGAAUGUAACAAGGUGAAAUAAAAAUGUUAUUCUAUUAUUUGAGUAUUUUAUGAUUGGAUAAAAUAAUUUUGUUAUCCCUCUUAAGUUAUAGGGUAAAAAAAUUUGAUGAAAAAUGAUGGAAUAGGACGCAAUAUAUUUCAUCAGAUUAUGUUUCUUUCCAUUUUGUUUAUCACAUUUCAUUCGAUUAUCAAUCCAAACAUUUUCAACUAAAAUUCAUCAAUAAUUGUGAUAGAGAAUUCAGCAGGUUUUCCCUCUCAUUUGCAAUGGCAUCUUUACUUUAGCAUGUUUGAUUUUCAGAUAGUGCACAUACGUUUCUGGCUAAGUUGACAGAUUUAUGCAGAUGGUGGAGCCACUAUCAUAUGUUUCUUGCUAAGUUGCCAGAUUUAUGCACAUGGUGGAGUCACUAUCAUAUGAACAGAUGUUACACAGAAGUUUGAAAAAUCAUAACCAUUAUGACCACGCUUUUUUGAUUUUACAUUAAUUUAGAACAACCAUUAUGAGUUUUCUGUCCCAAAAAAGCCAAUAAUAUUAUGCUUCCCAUUAACAUGCCAAUUUCUGUAAUGACCACGCUUUUUUAAUUUUACAUUAAUUUUUUUCCGAAGAAAUAAUCAAUGUUCUAAAAAGUGGUAACAACAUGAAUUAACCACAAUUUAAUCUUCAAAAUAAAAACGGUUUGAAAAUAACCAUAAACUAACUAGAAAACUAAUUUGACAAUUUAGGGUGGCUAAUUGACGAAACAGAAAUAACAUUGCAAAUAAAACUCAAGAUACUACUCAAAUGAUAACAUGCAAAUUAAAAUGAUUUAGUUUCAACUUCUCUUAUCUCUAAGAUUAGUCUAAAACUAACUUAUUUCUCGCUCUAAACCCAAACUCAGCUCUACGACGCGCGCACCGUGCGCGAUGCAUCUAGUUUUGUUUACUACUCAUUGAUCUAUUUUGCAGCACUAACCGCAGCAUAUCGAGAUUUGAAAAACCCUAAUAGUCCCUCCUUAGGAGGAAGAAUCUCUUUCACAAUAGGAUGAUUGAUGAACUCUUGACUCCAUUUAUGGAGCUUAGGAAAUUUGUCACCACCAAGGAACUUCAAUCCAACAGCUUCUUCAAGGAUAGGAAGCCAGAAAGCUAUGUAGGAAGCAGCAAUGUCCACAAUGCCAAUGUUUUCACCACCAAAGAAUUUGUUCUUGAGUUCAUUCUCAAGAAAUUGUAGAGCCUGCAACGCUUCUUCAGUGCCUUUCUCUCGUUCCUCUUUGUUCACUGUCCAUGCUGCCUUUGAUAUCGCCCCCAAGAUCUACAUUCAUAGAAAUGAAAUUCAUGAAAUUAGUUCUUACUAUAAAAAGAAACUUAGACCAAAUAAAUAUGACUCACCUUGUCAUCAAUGAAAUUAGACCAAAAUCUAGCCAAGGCUUUCUCAUAAGCUUGUUGAGGAAGAAUGGGAUAAUUAUCCCAAGUUUCAUCAAUGUAUUCAAUAAUCACAAGUGACUCAGAUAAUGGUUUUCCAUUGUGAACAAAAACAGGCACCUUCUUAUGAAUAGGAUUGUACUUAAGAAGAAGUUCACUUUUGUUCAUUAGAUUUUCUUCAAUGAAGGUGUACUCAAUACCCUUUAGUUUUAGAGCAUAUUCAACUCUUUGAACAAAUGGGCUUGCUCUUACACCCAACAAUUGAACUUCAGCCAUUGCUAAGAUCUUAAGAAAAUGUGGAUGUGAAUUUUGGUUCUAACUUUUUUUUUACUCUUUGGGUUGGGAUUCUUCAUGUUGUUAUAGAUGAGUUAGGUAAAGUUUGUGACGGAG
rnacentral:lncRNA from 1 species